rnacentral:lncRNA from 1 species
AAAAAAAAAAAAUUCUUAGGCACUUCCUCAAUUUUUAUUUUUUUUAAGCCAGAGAACCUAAACCAGUUUGCCUACACUAUUUUGCAGCACUUGUAUCAAAUGAAAGCUAUAUACUGUACAUCACAUUAUGGGUAUAAUAUGUAAUAUAAUAUAAUUGUUGUUAAUGCAAUUCUUCUGAUUUUAUUUUUCCCUUUUUUUCCCUUUCCUUUUCUUUAAUACUAAUAAGGUUUGGAGGUUAAUUAGGAACUCAGUUGCACUCAAAAGACUAAUAGAAAGUUUUUUUUUUUUAAAUUAUUAAGAAAUUAGCAUCUUCAUAUAUAGGAGCAUUUCACAUAUUGCUCAAUACUUAUUAAUAUAAAGAAAAUUGAAGUUAUCCAAUGUUUGAAUCUAUUUUCCCCUUCUACAUGAUGUUAAGAUGAUGAAAGCACAACAUCAGAUAUAUUGAUGACAGGUUCCACGUCCCAAGACCAAAAUUUCAUAAAUUCACUUUAUUUAAGAACAUAAUUAAAAAAUUAAUAGUGAUUAUGGUUGAAAAUCAUGUUGAAGGUGAAAUGAUAAAUUUUACAUGUAUAUUUAAUAAAUUAUGAUCGAUGAUACAUUACAUGUUAGCUACAAGAAUUACUAGCUAAUAUCUGCAGUUCGUUUCAUAAAAAUAUUCAAGAAGAGAAAGCAUGAUAGAGACCAACUUAAUCAAUUUUAACACAUUGACAAACAGUAAUCAUUGUUUAUUUAUUUCAUUUUCCAAGAAAACGCAGUAUACAUAAAUAAAUAAACAAAUUCUCUUACAUAUCUGAAGAGAUCUUUUAGAAAUGACAUCUUUUUAUUUAAUUGAACAUAUUAUAAAAGAGUAACACAACAUGCACUUAACCAACGUUGUUGAAAUUUCUCCCAUACUAAGGAACAAUAAGAAGAUCAACAUUUUGUUGGGCAAAAAUUAGUUUUUUAAAUAUUUUAUAAAAAUUUUUAGGAUCGAUCUCAUAUAAUAUAUAGGAAUUCGUAAUAUAGAAAAUCAUACCUUAACAAUUCGAUUUGGCUUUUUCGCUGAGUUAAACUAGGCACCCAGAUUACGAUAUGUCACCACAACGCCUGUUAGAUCAUGAUCCGUCACCACCACACUUGCUAGAUCACGAUCCGUCACCAAUGAUCUUCUAGGUUAUCACUCAGGUUUGAUUUACACUUGACGUGUGGCCGUCUUUAUCACCACUAAAAGCAACUAGUAGGAGAAAAUGUUUCUCUCAAUAUUAGAGAGAAUUUUUUUUUUCUCUAAUCUGUAUAAUGUGGCUUCUCUCUUUUUUUGAGAGAAAACAAGCCCUUUUAUAUAUUUAUCUAGUAGAAACCCUAAGCUCCAUAUUUUAAUAUUUUUAAUUCUAUUAAAUUAAAUUUGAUUUAAAUUAAAGAUAAUAAAAUCAAAAGUAACUUUACUUCUUCUUGUCAUAGGGGCCUACCUUGUAAAAUAACACAAGGCCCCUUAGACACAAGCACAUUAUAUGGAGCCUCCCACUAAAUAAUAUAUUUAGACUUUUAACUCAAAUAGCUAGUUUUCUUACUUAUUAAUCCAGUAGCGGCACUGUCAAUUAAAUGAGCUAACUCGGGGAUCAUAUGGGUACAUACAAUAGUGGCUAUAAUAAUUAGGUCUAUAAUUAAACUAGCUCAAUUAUUAAUUCCAAAUCUACUCCACUAAAAGAUUGGAAUUGACCUCCAUAAUUGUAUGUUAUCCAAGAUAGUGUUUUCAAAUAAUAAUACGAAGUUCUGAUGUUUGGUCUACAGAAUAUUAGAAAUCGAGGCUAAAAUGUAGCAUUUUGUCAUUUCUCAUAAAGCCUCCUCUGAUUUCUAUGUGCAUUUUCCAUUGGAACUGAAAGGCAUGGCUGGGUUAAGACAUAUUUAUAAUUUUCAGCAGUCAAGACAAUGAAUAUAUUUCUUUUCCAAUCUAUAUAGUUUUCUCCAAUGAGUUUGUUUUGAUUCAUAAUAAUAGUAAGUGGGCUUAGGGAAGACAUUUCCUGAAAAAUAAAACAUCCAUGCAUAAAUAAUUUGAUAUAAUAUUCACAAUAAAUGAAAAAAUGCAUAAAACCAUAAAUGCAUUUUAAUUUAUUAUAACGAUAAUUUAGUACCGCUUUGACAAGCUAUCAGUUGGGGAAGUCAUGUCUACACUUACUAGACCCAAUUACCCAAUGAAUUAUUUACUUUCAUGUAGAGACAUAAUAAAUAUUUAUCGUUAUCCUUUUGGGCCUAAAUUUGUUAACAGAGCUUAGUUGGAAAGGUUAAUAACAAAUUUUAAUUGAGUGUAUAACCAUUAUUUCAAUCUACGUAUUUUUCAUAUCAAUAGUCACCUUUGGGUUGAACAAUCGAUUGAAAAAUAUUUCAAUUUUAUCUUUGAAGAAGUUCAUCAAAUAAAAUAUCUAAUAUAUAUACCCUCCGAAGGGAGCAUCACCGUAUCAUGAAGUCGAGGUAUAUAUAUAAUUUUAUUAUUGAAUAUCAAUGGAGCCCGUAGGAAAAUUUCUUGAAUUUUCCCUCUCCCACUCAAUAUUUUAAAAUUGGUUUUUCCUUUUUAAAACAUACAUUAAUUAUAUUGUUAAUUGCAUGUUUCCUGUUAUAUUAUCUAGAUGAUAUCCAAUAUUAUUAAGCAUAUGCAAAUUUCAAACAAUAUAAUAAGAUUCAUAAUUAAUGAAUGACAUGUAUCAUUAUGCAUAGAGUGGCACUACCUAUUUUAUAUGACAUGUUAUCAUGGCAUGUUAUCAUCCAAAACAUAACGUAUAGAAAAAUAAUUAAAUAAUCUUAAUUCAUGACUUUCCUAAAAUGAAAAAAUACAUUAACCCUAAGCCUAAUCUUCAUUGGACUUCUUGUCAAUGUCUAUUUUCUAUAAACUUGUCUUUGUUAAUGGACUAGGAGAAAUUGGGCUUUUAAAUUUAUUAUUGGUCCAAUUUUAAUUUUAAAAGAAAGUAAAUAAAAUCUUUUUUUAAAUAACACUUUUGGACCAAAAAAUAAAUUUAAUGUGUUAAAUUUUAUCUAUGCAUUUUAAUCAAUUAAGCUCAAUUUUAAUUAGGCCUAAAAGUAGGAUCCAUUAAGCCCAAAAUUAUUUUCAGACUUAAAUGCAAAAAAAAUUGAGUCAUAUCUACCCAAAAGAAGAAACUAUGAAACUAUGGGGACCUCAAUGAUAAAAAUCAUUGAAACUCUAAAUCCAUCUUUUUCUCUCCCCAUCUUCUCCAGCCGCCACCAACGCAAAAACUAGCUCCCGUUUAAAAUGUUCACACCGGACAGCCACCUGCUCCGACGCCGAGUCACCGUCACCGAGAAGCCGCCACCUUCCGCCAACAGCCAUCUUUCCCACGCGACCAUCAUCCGAUUGCGUCGUUGGCCACAUUGCUUGCCACUGCAGCUGCUGGCAGUGCUGCUGGCCACGUGAGCCCCGCACGCGUUGUUGCAGUAUGUACAGCGUUGCUUGCAGCUGUUUCCAGCAAGUUUCGAGCACUUGCAGCGCGUGUUUCUAGUAGUCUCGCGCAAGUUUCCAUAAGUUUCCGGUGAUUUACAAAUUUUCUAGGCCAAUUUUAGUUUACAAAAUUUCUAUAACAGUAAAAUAAAUCAAGAGAGAAACAUGGUGAUAAAAGACCACCCCUCUUGUUACAGAUCCAAAGAAAAAAUAUUUUAGAGAAUCUAACCCUGAAUUAAGACAAACCAUAAGCAUACUUUAUUCAUAUAUUAAACAAAUAAUAUAUAUCUGAAUAAAUUGUGCCACUCUAAUACAUAAAUAUCAAGAUUGAUUUUAUACAAAUUUUUUAAAUAUUAAUAUGAGAUAGCUCUAAUACCAAUUGUUGGGGAAAAAUUAGUUUUUUAAAUUUUUUAUAAAAACUUUUAGGAUCGAUCUCAUAUAAUAUAUAGGAAUUCGUGAUCUAGAAAAUCAUACAUUGACAAUCCGAUUUGGCUUUUUCGUUGAGUUAAACUAGGCUUCCAGAUCACGAUCUGUCACCACCACGCCUGUUAGAUCACGAUUUGUCACCACCACAUUUGCUAUAUCACAAUCUGUCACCAAUGAUCUUCUAGGUUAUGACUCAAGUUUGAUCUGCACUUAACGCGUGGGCACCUUUAUCCCAAUAAAAGUAACUAGCAGGAGAAAUUUUUUCUCUCAAUAUUAGAGAGAAAAAAAUUUUUUUUUUCUGAUCUGUAUAAUGUGGGUUCUCUCUUCUUUUGGGAGAAAAUAAGCCCUUUUACAUCUUUAUCUAAUGUAAACCUUAUGCUACAUAUUUUAAUAUUUUUAAUUCUAUUAAAUCAAAUUUGAUUUAAAUUAAAGAUAAUAAAAUCAAAAGUAACUUUAUUUCUUCUUGUCAUAGGGGCCCACCUUAUAAAAUAAUAAAAUGCCCCUUAGACAAAAGCACAUUAUAUAGAGCCUCCCACUAAAUAAUAUAUUUAGAUUUUUAACUCAAAUAGCUAGUUUUCUUACUUAUUAAUUCAGUAGCAGCGCUGUCAAUUAAAUAAUACGACCCAUGCCACAUUGAUUUCUUUACUACACAAUCUUUUGUACCACAUCUUUAAUUAAAUUGAUAUCUCAAUUAUCCAAUCAAUUUAAUUACAUCUUGGUUCUUGAUAUUUACUGGUUUUCUCUAAUGCUGAUUUUCAACAUAUUAAAUAUGUCGACAUACUUUGGCCAGAGAAUUCUAUGGUCAAGUGCCGAAAACCCAUCAAAAGAUGUGUUAUAUAAAUUCUAUAUUGUUAAUCCAUAACUCCAAUACUCAUAAUUACUUCCACCAAGAUACCAGGUAAUCUUGACUAUAAGUAUGUGUCGUGCCCAUUGGUAACUCAAAUGGAAUGACAAUUACAAUCAUGAAAUUAUAACUAACUCAAGAUUAAGAUUACAGUAAAAUCAAUGCCUAUGAGAUUUAACAAGUCUUACAGUUAUUAUAAAGUUAAUUAAAUCUCAUAUGUGAUCAUGUUCAAUGUAGUCGUACUACAUUAAUAAAUUCAUACAUGAUUAAGAUAAAUCAUUCAAUGAAUUUAUUACAGUCUAUACCUAAAUAAAGUGCCCAAUUUUAUUUAACAACUGCGAACUUAAUUUAUUUAAUCAUAAGAUAACUUGUAUUUAUGUCUUAUGUGAAUCCACACAGUGAUCACAUAAAUACAUAUAAUAUGAUUAAAUGUACUUUACUCAAAAUAUUAAUGCAAUGAAAAUACUUGAAUAAAAUACCUCAUUUAUUUUAUUAAUCAGAAAAAUUGUUUAUUACAAUUAAAUAAACACAUAUGCUUUUAAGAACAUAUUUUCCCAAUACAUUUUCAUUCAUAAUCAUACUAUUAGUAAUACUGUCACAUGGCGGAAAAUCGAGACCCUUUGACCAAAUCAUUCUUACCUAAAAAAAUUCAUAUAAAUUGGAAACUUAAUCAUAUGUAUAUAUGUGUGUGUGCGCGUGCGCAUGAAAGUAAGAUUUAUAAAUAGUAUUCGAUUGAAGUUGGAUUAGAAACCUGCACAAGAAGUUUCCAUAUUCUUCAAAGAUUCUAGUGAGCCGUAAUGUAGUACAUAAUUAAGUUGCUUUUGCGAGUUCUUGCCUUAGCUUCUGGUUUGAGAAUAUGUAGACACACACACACACACAAAAUUCACACAAGUAGCCGGCGCAAGAGUGAAUGGGGCGUAGUUAAUGCAUGCAUGGUAGGUAGAUAAGGAGAGGAGCAAAUGAUGCAAGUAAUUAAUUAAUCGUAGAUAAUUAGAUAUUGAAUUAACGGCUAUAAUCAUUCAAUUGCAUGGGUUGCUUGGCUCACUAAAUAAACUAAUAAUCGUAGAGAUAAGUAGAUGAUAAUUGAAUGAUGUAAAGUUUGUUGGCAAUAAUUUAAUUAUAAGACACUAAUUUAUUGCAAUCAACAUAGUAUUUUCUCUCAGAAUAAAAUUAUAAUAAUGUUGUAAUUCUUACGGAAUGUUAAUUUAAGAUAAAAUAAGAUGUGUAUCAGUGUAUAUAUGACCUUUCUAAUCUAUUUUUUCCUCUCUCUCCUUUCCCUCAAAACUUUUCAAAUAUUCUUACUCUUAAAUAUUGAAAAGAAUUUUAAAACAAAUUAAGGUCAAGUAAAAAGAUGGGAAAAAAUUUAUUCAAUUGAUAGUUCAAUUAUGUAACUUUCAUCUUUGAAUUUACCACUAUUAUGAAUUCAAUUUUCAAAGUAAUUGAUAAACUAGAAAACAAGAAAAAUAUACACUCUAAUGUAUUGUAUUUUUUCCUAUAGCUUAUAGGAGUAUGUGUUUUUCCUUUUCUUUUGAAUAUAAGUGAGUAUCUUAUUUGUUUUUAUAAAUAAAAAAGUAUCUUAAAAAUGAUUACUUGACAUUUAUGUACUUGUAAAUCAAAACAAAAAGAAGAGGUUAGAUUUUUAUAGUUUAGGAAAUAAAUAUAUUUUGUAGAGAUAUUUUUUGAAUAUAAUAUCUACUUCUCAUUUAAAUUUUUUCUUAUUCAGAUAAAAGUCACAAAAAUUUAUUUUUUUAUUCGGAUGUAAAUGUCUAAAAAUCAAAUAUAAGUUAUAAAAAAUAAAUAAAUAAAUUUUAAAAAAGGUUUGAAAUUAAUAAAAUUUCAAACUUUAAACAUUUAACAAAUAAGGCCUUAGUCUUUUAUUUUUUCCCCAAGUCUAAAGGCUCACAAUCUGUGUUUAAGAUUAUGUAUAAAAUUUUAUCUCGUAAACCUGACCCAAUAACGAUAUAAGCUUCUAUAAGAUCCAUCUAAUUAAUUUAUUUGGGAUUCAAAUUGUUACUGAUCCUUCUCAUAAUUGAUGUAAUAUCCUUCUCGGAGGUCCCAAAGGAAAUAAUGGUUAAGGAAAUAAAUCGUUAAAUAAAUGGCUUUUUUAUUUUUUAUUAUCCAAUGGAUCGAGGAGUGGCAAUCGAAUGGGCGAGGCUGAGAUUGCCUAAGCCCAUGAUAAAAAAGGCCCAAGCCCUUAUAGGCCGAUCAAAGUUUGGAUGGGGCGGGCCAAGCCUGGACCUGUAAAGUUUUUCUUUUUUUUUCAAGAGUUUGACUAUUGGCACCCCUCCAACAUCUUUUUAAAAUCCCUCUUCUAUUACAAUUACAUUUAAGGACAAAUACUCUAAUAUAUCUCACAUUUAUUUUAUCUAACUUCAAACUUGUAUUUUCUCUCUUAAAAAAAAAUAAAACUCUUGUAUUUUCUUUGCUAUCAAACUCACAUAUGUAAUUUUUUUUCUCAAAUUCUCUAUAAAUUUUUCUUCAAUUACUAAGACAAUCUAUUGAUAAUAAACAAAACAAAUUCCAAUAAUUAAUUUUUUGUAACCACUAACCCACAAAGUGUCUGUUUAAUAUAACUUAUUUAAUGGUUAUAAAUACUUAUUUAAUUCCAUAAACUCUUGUUAAAGUUUUUGUUUCUAUUUAGUUGUUCUUUGAGUAGAGCUUUUGAAUCUUACAUAAGUUGUUUUGCUUCUAUUAGAAAAAGCUCGAAUGUUGAGCUUUUAGGAGUAAAUAUUGAAAAAUAUUUUUUAAAUGUUAAAAUAUCUAAAAUAUCAUUUAUUUAUUUGACAAUCUUAUUUUAAUUUUUUAUAACAUAACUUUAAAAAAAUUGUAAAUUAAAGUAAUUUUAUAAUUUUUAAUAAAAGUUUUGAUUGACAACCAAAUAACUAAAAAUUUUUAGGUAAAAACCCUAUUUACAGAAGUUCUACUAACAAAAACUCUAAAUAAAAAAUUGUACCAAACAGAGUCUAAAUAGUAAACACGGGAGAAUACUAACAUCAUAAAUUCAUAAUAACAAACCAUAGCCCACAAACACCGAUGCAUUUUUUUCUUCCCAAAAGGUUUGCUCUAGCUCACAAUUAGUUAAACACUUGAUGGAGAGAUAAUUAUGAAUUGAAAGAGCAACAAUAAAUUUUGAUGAAAUAAAAUAUUAAAUUGAAUCAUUAUGUUAUAUUGCAAAUUAAACUUGAGAUAAUUAUAUUGUGAUUAAAAUCUUUAAUUUUUAGUAAAAUAAUAAUAAAAUUCAAGAAUUUAAUAUUGUAUUUUAACAUUUUUUUUACCAUCAAUAUUUGUGUAAAAAAGUGAGAGGCUAAGAGAUAGAUCAGAGAGGGAAAAAAAGAUGAGAUUGAGGUAUAUACAAAUCAUAAGAAUAUUAAAUAGAGAUUGAUUCAACUCUUCGAGUGUUGCCCAUGCCGCCAAUUUUUAUAAUUAUUUCGGCAAUUAUUUGGGUAGCUUUGGUUUUUCUUCUGGAUAUCAAACAGCUUUCUAUGCCAGCCUAGCGAGGAUUGUUUUGGAACGCGAUUCAAUUAUGGUAAUUCAAUUUUUAAGUCUUAUAGCUUCCAUUCCUCCUUGGACUUUGAAGAAUCAUUGAAUUAAUUGUCAAAAUCUUCUCUUUUAGAUGAAUUUCAAGUUUAAAAAAUGGUGGAUGAAACAACUUUGCUCUGGCAAAAUAAUCGAUCUCUCAAUUUAUUACUUAUUGCUUCAUAAUAUCAUGCUUGGACCAAUAAUAUGGUUUCUUCAGGUUGUUUGUUUGAGUCAAUGCCAUUUGUGCCUGUAGCCCGAUGAUAUUUAUGUCAUCCGCAUAUGUUGAGGGCUUGAAAUUAAACCCCACAGAAUCUAUUAUUAGAAUGGACUCCGCUAAACCACUUUUCUCCCCUUUAAAUUUUUAUGCAUAUUUUAAUAUUUGUAUGAAAUCACAUAAUUCAUUAAAUGCUUGCCCCCAUUAAGUAUAUUGUUAAUCUGUAUUUCACUAAAAAAUUUACUCUUUUUUUUAAAUAUUAAAUUGCGCUCCCCUACCAAAUGAUGCCCAAUAAAAACGAGGUACUUUCGGAUUAGAAAAAUAUCAAGUUCUGAGCUUAAGUGGCUUAAUAAAAAAUAAUAAAUAUAAGAUAUUACGGUCCUAUUUAGAAUUGAGGUGCUGUAACUUUGAAGUUAUUACUGUUGUGGAAGAAAAACUGUAACUAUGAAAAUCAUAUCAACAUCAUUUUGAAGUUACAGCAGUUAGUAUUUACCAAAUGAUUUAGUGUUGUACCUUUUCAGUUAUAGUUGUCCAACCACAAUCUCAAAAACACUCUAAGUAGAUCGGUGGGCAUUUCAGUUGAUUAUAUCUUCCACAUUUUUUUUGGGAUAUUUCUAAGACUUAAUUACUAUAAAUAAGUUAUAAGACACAAGUUAGAUUGACAAUUGUAAUCAAAUAUUCUAAUUUCGACAUCCAAAAUUGUAUGUGGUUUGACGGAUAAAAGCUUGUUUCAUCCUUGUAUUUUAAGAUUAGUGCCCAUUUAGUUCCUGUAUUUUUAGAAAUACCUCAAAAUAUCCCUACCCUUACAUUAUUGACAUCCUUGCUGUUAAUUUUUAUUUCUUUUGACUUGCUUUUAUAAUAUUACCCUCUUACAGUAAUGUUUCUUUUUAUAAAAUUAAUAAAAAGAAAAAAAUUAAAUUAUUAAUUUAACCCCAAAAAUAAAAUAAAAUAAAAACAAAAAGAAUAUAUAUUAAUUUUUGUGAAAGCUUACAUGUGUCCAAAAAAAGUUUUAUUGUAAAAAUAAUUAAAUUACUUAUUUUUUUGGACGCUAGUAAUAAAAAGAUUAAUAUAUUAAUUCCUCAGCAGUGUGUUACAAAAAAGUAACAUAUAUUAAUUUUGUUUCUAUUUUAUUUUUUGAGAUUAAAUUGAUAAUUAAUUUUUUUCUUUUUACUAAUAUCCAAAAAAAAUAUUGUAAGAGGGUAAUAUUGUAAAAAUUAAGCCAAAAGCAACAAAAAGUAAGAGGAAAUGUGCUAAUAAUUUAAUGUCGGGGAUGUUUUGAGGUAUUUUUAGAAAUAUAGGGAUUGAACGGGUACUAACCUCAAAAUAUAGGAACUAAACGGGAUUUUACCCGUGGUUUGACUAUAGGUUUCAUGAAGCUAAUUAAUUUUAAUUACUAUCAUUACUCAUACUCAUAUGCACGAGUAAAGUAGGGAUGACAAUUUUUCCCGAUGGGAUGGGAUCCUGCGGGAUCCUAUCCCAUUUGGGACGGGAUUAAGACAUAUUUUUGUCCCAAAAAAAAUAUAGGGAUGGGACUGAGACCUUUUUUCAUCCCAUUUACAUAUGCGGGAUGGGACUGGGAUUGGUAAAUCCCAUCCCAUCCCAUCCCGUCCCAUUACCAACCCUAGAGUAAAGUGAAUUUAUACAUUACAAUAAGUUAUAUAUAUAAUUUCCGGUUGAUUUUUUAAUCUUUAAUUUUAUUUUUAGGCUAACUUAAAAUUAUUUUUUAGUUACAUUUAUGAAGAAACGUGUAUUUUGAUAUAUCAAUCCCAAAUCGAUAUUGCAGUAAUUCAAUUUGAGUAUAGAUACAAAUUUAUACUGUGAAAUUCAGUUAUCUAAAUCUAUGAGACUAAAGAUUUUGGAGAUAAGACUUCCAUGUGCAACCAAAUGUGUUGAAUAUAUAUUGUUUCUACGAGGAAAUUAAAAAUAAGCUAAUGUCGGAUCCACUCUUUUUUAUUUUUCUUUAAAAAAAUGUUUUUAUUAAUUAUUCGUCACCGUCUCCCUAGGAUCGAUCGAUAGGUGAAAAACUUUCUUAAAUAAAUAAAUCAUAAAACAUGGCUCACGUCAUUGUAUCGAAAUUUUAUUCUAAUUGUCAACUUUGUGGCAAAAGAUCUGCUAAAAGAAAUAAGGAAAUAGCUAAAGAGUACUCCACUUUUAAAUUAUCAAUUAAUGGUCUAAUAUAUAUUGUUCAGGCAGCUGCUAAGUUUCUUAAUUGCGACUUACAGUUCACUUAAAAUUAAUUUUUUUAAAUUAUUUGAGUAGAAAUAACUUAGAAGUAUAAAAAAAUUAUUUUUGAAUUGUUGUAGGUUAUAAUUAAUGUAGUAUAAUAAGACCUUAUUUCUCAUAUUUCGAGUCCAGCAUUACUGCUUAUAUAUGGGACGGAAUUGGGCUACUAUUAAGCCAAUUAAAAAAAAAAAAAAUAGUUUUGGGGUAUAUUUAGAAUGAUAUUUUUACACUAUUAAAUGAAUAAUAUGUGGACAAUUAUAAGGAUAAAAUGUACAAAAUACUUAAAUCAUUAUAAAGAUGCCAUCUGAAAAAAUUUACAAAAGAAUAUUCUUAUUUUUUUUUUCCAAGUAUGACACAGUUUUGAAAUAUUUUCUCUUUUUAACCAAAGAUGACAUCUAACCUUAAUUUUUAUGUACUCUCCUUACCACUAGCCUCCACUAUAUAAAUGUUUUAUUUAACCUAUAUUUGGGGGCUCUCCGCUCCUUUCUCUCACUCUUUCCUCUCUCUCUCUCUAUCUUUUAAAUGAUCAUCCACUUCUCCAUUUUUGGGAUGCCAUUUCUAUUCUCUAUCUCUUUAUUCACUAUCUUCAUCUUUAUCAACACCAAACAUCUCGAUAUAGUUAUCUAACUUAUGUAAUUUGUCUUGGAUAAUGCAAAUCUUUUGUGAUCUCUCAUUUAUAUAGUGGAUUGGUGUUGACUUACUUCCAUGGACAAAAGCCAAAGGCCAAACCAAUUAAACAUCAUGUCUUGGAUAAUGUAAGUUACCACAGUUACUCUAAGUAUUUUGUACGACCACUGAGUUGUCCUUCGAGUACAUCUGAGCUACUCCUAAGAACACAUUAGCCCCCUCCAUAUCAACUCUUAUACAACUCUAUUGAGCUCUCCCUAUUAUUCCACAUACAACUACCUCAGCUCAUUCUGCCUAUUACUUUAGCUCACUAUCUAGUGUACCUCAGCUAGACCACAAGCCCUAAAUAUAAAAAAAAAUAGACCUAUACGCAAACUUAGCACAAGCUCCCCUCAAAUAUAAAUUUAUUUGUUUGAAUUAGAUUUGAGGUAAAUUUAGUGAGUACCACCCAAUUGGUUCAAAUCAGCCCUAGUAAAAAUUUGGUGAAAACAAUUAGUGCCAUAUGUAGAUAGCACUUCAAAAAGCUUUCAUAGUGAUGGCUUUAGGUUUAUGUCGUGUUUGAAUAAAGGGGCAACAGAGGUACCCUCAGAUGUAAACAUCACCAUGUGAAGGCACUUGAAAUAUGCCAACAAUGAGCAAGUAGAGCUCCACCUAUCAGAUCAGGAGUGCAACUUUAGUAUUUAAGAGAUAUCAUAUCUCAUUUAGCUCUCCAAACUCAAGUCAUCACCUACUCUAUAUCUGAAUUCGCAAGUAACUUAGGUGGAUGAAGCCCUAAGGGAGUUAUGUAAGGAAAGACUUGAAAAAGAACCAGAAUGAUGAUUAUUAACAUGCAGUCAGAAACUCUCUACUAUUUUAUUCUAUUUAUUUAUCAUCUUAUAAAAUAUAUUUGUAAAUCUUGUGUGAUAAAUUUAUACGAACCUCAAGAGUACUCUACAAUGGUGAAGGCCUUUUGGGGACCUCAAGGGUACCUUAGAGAGGUUGCUCAUUCUUUUUUAGAGAUUUCGUUAUAGAAAUUAAAAGUAUAUAGCUUACCUAGUCCUCAUGAAGAAGUGAGUGGAUGACUUGCCUUUAGUUAUAAGUCAUUACAUAUAGUGUAUUAGCUUCUCUUUCUUUGAUUACCAUUUAGUUAUAAGUCAUUAAAUGCCUUACAUCAAUUAAAAUGGAAACUCGGCAAUUAAAAGAAAAAUAAUUGAUUUGUUUCUCCACUAGCCUCCUCAAGAAACAAGAAAGUGUAGUAUAUUUUUCUGCUAUAAUGUGCAAGCCAACUUCCUAUUAUAUGGAUGUGAUUAUUUGGAAACUUCAGGAGUCUAAAUCAUGCAUUUAUCACGUGUAAUUCCUUCAAUGGGCCUUUUUGAAUUUGUUUAAGCCUAAGUUGCUUGAAUCAACCUAUUAAACGCUUCUUUGAAUUUCUUUGCUCGAGCUCUUAUGACGGGUCCAACGUGAACUUGAAUAGGAUCUGACUAUACCUCAUCUUACGUGUUUGUGAUAGUUUUGUCCUUAAUCUCGUCAUUGCCCUCCUCUUGAAGAGGAUUUAUUCUCAAAUCAUCACCUACAUCAACAGGAAUCAAAUUAGAAACAUUAAAAGUAGCACUUACGUUGUACUCACCAGGCAAAUCUAGCUUGUAUGCAUUAUCAUUGAUCCAUUCCAAAACUUGGAAAGGACCAUCCUUUCAAGAUAAUAACUUAGAUUUCCUUCGUUCUAGAAAUUGUUCUUUAUGCAUGUGUAACCACACCUAAUCACCUGAUUCAAAGACUAGCUUAUGUCGCCCUUUUUUGGCCUAUUUAGCAUAUUGCUUAGUUCUCUGCUCAAUGUUGAACUUUGUCAUCUCAUGUAUCUAUUUAACAAUUUCAACCUUUUUUGCCAUCUAAGUUAACACACUAAGAAACAUGUCGUGGAGUUAGAUCCAAUGGGGUUAAAGGAUUAAAACCGUAAAUGAUUUCAAACAGUGAAUAUUUAGCAGUAAAAUGAACAGAAUGAUUAUAAGCAAAGUCAACAUAUGGCAAACAAUUUUCCCAAAUUUUUAUGUUGUUUUUAAUGAUAACCCGUAACAAAGUAGAUAAUGUUCUAUUCAAAACUUUUGUUUGACCAUCAGUUGAGGGUGACAAGUAGUUAAAAAAAAAAUAACUUAAUUCCUAACUUUGCCCAUGAUGUUUUCGAAAAGUAACUUAAAAAUUUAGCAUCCCUAUCAGAAAUAAUUGUCAUGGGCUUACCAUGCAGCCUUACAAUUUCCCUAAAUACUAAAUUAGUGACAUUAGAAACAUCAUUCGGUUUAUGGCAUGGAUUAAAAGUGUCAUCUUUGAAAAUCUAUCCUCAACCACAAAAAUUGAGUCUCUCCCUCAUUUAGACUUAGGUAACCCUAAAACAAAAUCCAUGAAACAUUAGUCCAAGGUGUACUAGGUAUUGGCAAUGGGGGUGUAUAAGCCAUAAGACUGCACUUUCAAUUUGGCUUGCCUACAAGUGACACAUCUACUACAAAGUCUCUCAACAUCUCGUUUCAUAUGUGGCCAAUGGAAGUGUUCUUGCAAAAUUGCUAAAGUCUUUACAACUCCAAAAUGCCUUAUCAACCUUCCUCCAUGGGAUUCUCUUACUAACAAAUCUCUUAAAGAACAAUUAGAUACACACAAUUUAUUGCCCCGAAAUAAGUAACCAUCAUGCCUAAAGUACUUACCAACCACGACCUUUUCACAAUCUUCGUAUUCAAAACUAAAAUCAUGGUCAUCAGCAUAUAAUUCCUUAAUAUGUUCAAAACCAGGCAGUUUAACAUUAAGUGUCGAGAUUAAGACAUAUCUAUGGGAAAGCGCAUCUGCAACAACGUUUUCCUUACUUUACUUGUAACGAAUGACAUACGAAAACGUCUCUAUGAAUUCUACCCAUCGAGCAUGCCUUUUGUUCAGUUUAUGUUGGCCUUUAAGGUGUUUUAAGGACUCAUGAUCGGUGUAAAUUACGAACUCCUUAGACCAUAGGUAGUGCUGCCAUGUUUCUAACACUUGAACCAACGCAUACAACUUUUUAUCGUAAGUAGGGUAGUUUAAGGCUGCCCCACUUAGUUUCUUACUAAAGUAAGCAAUUGGUCAUCCCUCCUGCAUUAGAACUGCGUCAAUACAAUACCUAAGGCAUCGCAUUCGAUUUCAAAUAUUUUAUUAAAGUUCGGCAAGGACAAUAAGGGAGCUUAGGCAGUUUUUGCUUAAUUAUUUGAAACGCUUUCUCUUGUUCUUCCUAUUACUUGCAUCCAACGUCUUUGUUAAUUACUUCAAUAAGCAGUACAGCCAAUAUGCUAAAGUCUUUCACAAAUCUUUGAUAGAAAUUAGCGAGCCCGUGAAAGCUUCUCACAUUGCUUACGCUUGCGGCACUCGACCACUCUUGGAUUGCACGUACCUUCUCCUCAUCAAUUUGUAUACCUUGUGCACUCACAACAAAUCCUAGAAACAUAAGUUUAUCGGUGCAAAAGGUACACUUCUUCAAAUUAGCAAACAACUUUUCUUUCCUAAGCCCAUCUAAAACAGAUUCCAAAUGUAUUAUAUGUUCAUCCAAGUUUUUGCUAUAUAUGAGGAUAUCGUCAAAAUAAACAACAACAAAUUUGCUAAUAAAAGCUCGCAAAACAUGAUUCAUAAAUCUCAUAAAGGUGCUCGGAGCAUUAGUCAGACCAAAAGGCAUAACUAACCAUUCAUACAAAUCAUAUUUUGUUUUAAAUGCAAUUUUCCAUUCAUCUCCAUUCUUUCAUUCUAAUAUGAUGAUAUCCACUUUUCGGGUUAAUUUUAGAAAAUACACAAGAUCAAUCCAAUUCAUCAAGCAUAUCAUCUAGCUGAGGAAUGGCAUGUUGAUACUUUAUCAUUGUGUUGUUAAUGGCUCGACAGUCAACACACAUCCUCCACGUUCUAUCUUUCUUAGGGACUAAUAAAACCAGAACUGCAAAUGGACUCAUGCUUUCUCUCACGUAACCUUUUUUAUAUCAAUUUAUUAACUUGCUGACACAACUUAAAAGUAAUUUUUAACUCUCAAGUAUAAGAGUGUCUUGUUGUAUUAUAACUUGGUGAGUCCGAGGUCGAUCCACAGAGAAAGAUUUAAUUUGUUUAUUUUAUUUUAUCUGAAAAUUAAGAAAAACUUAAAUAUAAACAACUUAAUUGAAAUAAAACUAUGAAAUUGAAUUAUUUAGGGUUGUGGAUCCACUCUUAGAAGUAAAUAAAACAUAAUAAAUUCCUUUUGUCAUUUUUUUUAGAUUUAUUGCCCGAAAGAUUAAUUAUAUAAAUUAUUAUUAUUUUCCCUUUAAUUUUAUGAUUGAUUAAGUAUUUAUUGUGCCAAAAUUUAAUUUGUCUACAAUAAGUCAAAAUAUCAUUUUACCAUACCUUAUAUUAAGAUAUUAAGAAUUUAUUGUGCCAAAUUCAUUUGUUUGUCUACAAUAAAUCAAAUUUUAAAAUAUAAAAUGUGUAUAAAAUUAAAUAGAAAAUAAUUUAAUUUAUAAAAUUAAAGAGAGAAUUUGAUUAAAUCAUAUUUAUUUUUAAGAGUUUCACAUUACCCUAACUAUUAUUAUUUAGUUAAGCAUAAUUGAAAAAAAGAAUUAUUAAAAUUAAAUUAAACAUAAUUAAAAGUAAUAAAAACAAAUUAAAUUGAAAAUAAAACUAAAUUUAUUAAUAAAAAUAAUUAUAUAAAAUAUUAAAAACACACCUGAAAAUCAAGAUUGCAGGGAGAUGGAGAGAAUUUAAGAAGAAGAGAGAUGUAGAGAGAUGAUUAAAAACAUAAAAAUGAGGUUAUAUUUAUAGAAAAAUAAAUUCAUAAUCCAGUAUUUUGCGGUCCAUCAUAAGUUUCAUGCAUGUGCUCCUCACAACCAAUGAUCAAGAUCCAACGGCUGGUUAAACUUCAAAAGUCAACAUCACACGUGGCAUCGUUUGACUCGUCAGAUUUGGCCAAAGAACGAUUGAGUUUUGGCGGGUUAAUGGGUGGAUCGGGUCGACCCGAAUACAAAGAUUCGGAUUUUACAACUUGCUUCACCAACCAUUGCCACGUGGCACAAUUAUGGCCAUUGAAUCAUGAACGGUUGAGAUUUAGUCAAAAUUGCCAGCCAUCUCAUGUACUCAUAUCUAUUGUAAACUCAUUUCAUCAUCCAAUCAGUGCUCAGUCAACAGGAAAAGUCAAUUAGUUUUACAUAAGCCCAAUUUUAAGCCGAUCUUGACUGAUCUUAAGGUUUUCGGUAGGGAUGGCAAAAUCCUCCACAGGUUUGGGCCCUCAUGGAGCCCCACCCCAAAUGGGAAAUUUUUUUAAUAAUUUUUGGGGAAUGGGGUGGGGAGUGGGGGAAAAAUAAUCCCCAAAUUGUUAACGGGGUGGGGUUUGAUAUUGCACUCCCCACCCCACCUCCCCCACCCCAAUCCCCAUUAUAUAUAAAUAUGUUUUUAAUUCUUAUUUAAUAAUUUUAUUUUAUCAACUAUAAUGUCAAUUAAUAAUUUUUUUUUAUUUUUAUGUAAUAUAAACAAUAUAUGAAUAAAAGAAAACCCUACAAUAUUUUUCAAGUCUAAAACAUUAUUAUGUUUUCUUUUCUCUUUUAAGGUGUUACUCUCUUUAAAUAUUUUUCACUUUGAAUAUCAUUUUAAGCUAUUGUUUCAAAUUUUUAGAGAUUUAAAAAAAAAUUAAAUACUUCAUAAUAUGGUGAUGAUUUUAUUUUAAGUUUCUAAUUUUUAAUUUACUAAAAUCAUAUAUUUAUAUCUACUAUAAAAUACGUAAAUGGGGAAUGGGGUGGGGAUGGGGAAAUCAUUCCCUACGUGGGGAUUCCCCAUCCCCAGCCCACUAAAUUUAUUGAGGAAUGGGGCGGGGAAUAGAGACAAAAACUUUUAAUGGGAUGGGGAAUGGGGUAAGUCUCCCCACCCCCACCCUACCCCAUUGCCAUCCCUAGUUUUCGGACCUUCGGAAUCCAAAUUUGUCAUCCGUUUAUCUGUUCGGAGCCUUGAAUUACAUGAAAUUAAUAUUUUACCUAAUAAACACAUAAAAAUACACAAAAUUAAAUAUAUUUAAAACAUAAUUAAUAAUUCCUAAUAUAUUACACAAACAAAAAUAUAAAUUAUAACAUAAGCACAAAAUAAUAUUAUUAUCGCUUGAUAAUUAAACAAUUUUUAAUACUAAUCACUUGCCUUUGAAGUUUCUUUGUCUCCUCCAGGUUACUCUUCUAUGUUGGUCAAUUUCAAAUUGUUGCAUCGGGUACAAAAUCAAUAUGAUGCUCAAUCCCUCGAAUUGGAGGCAAAUCAUGUGGUGUUCCUUGAGAAAGACAACCUCACAUUCAUGCAAGAGAGAAGUAAUAGAACUAGGCAAAGUAGGGUCAAGUUCAUUAGUGUUUAAAAAUGCUUCUUUGUACAAAAGUACAAUCAUUGGUUAAUGUGAAAACAACACCUUUUUUUUUAUCUCACUCACUCUUGUAUAGAAAUUCUUUUGUUUUCCCUCAGAUUUUCUCUCAAUGGCCACGUUUUUCUUGUCUUUUUCUCUCUCACUUUUCUCGACCGCUUUUUUAUUUUCAUUUCCUUUUUCUCUCUUUCCUUUUGCUCACUCUCUCUCUAUAGACUUAGUUGGUCUCCAUAAACCUGUUUUGAUGUCAAUGGAACAAGAAUGAUAUUGCAUUGAUUAAAUAUAAAUGAAUAUUUAUUGGUGAAGCCAUUAUACUUCACACGUCUGUCGAAUUGCCAAGGUCGCCUACGUAAUAAGUGUCAAGCCUGCAUUGGUACUACAUUACAUAACACUUUAUCUUUAUACUUGUCAAUCCGAAAAGUCACUAUUGCUUGCUUGUUCACUUUUACCUCAUCACUGGCAAUCAACCACUGUAGUUUGUGCGGCUGUGGAUAUUUAAGUACUGAAAGCCCUAACUUCUCGACCAUGAUAAUACUAGCAACAUUAGUACAACUUCCUCCAUCAAUAAUCAAACUACAUAUUUUGUUUUGAACACAACAUCUAGUAUGGAAAAUGUUUUCCUGUUGCACUGCUUCGUCUUCUUUAACUUGCACACUCAAAUCUCUCCUAACUACUAAAGUCAAUCCACUAAGGGCUGUAUAAUCUUCAUCUUCGACGUCCUCCAAUGAUGACAUCUCAUUUUUUUCUUUUUCAUCUUCAGUCACAAUCUCACCAUUGUCUUACAACACCAUAACUCUUUUAUUCACACAUUCACUUACAAUGUGCCCCCUACCUUGACAUUUAAAACACUUAAUAUCAUGAUUCCUAACAGUGUGAGUCACGGUGUUACCUUGUGAAUUGUACUUGGAGGGCUCGAAUCUCAGCCUAGGUGCAGUAGAUGCUUAUGGCCCAUUGUCUCGCUUCACAUAGGUAUGCUUUUAAGGAGUGGAACUCGAGCUUAGGGCUCCACGGGUUUACCCCUCCUUUUCAGUUGGCGCUCAAUCUUGAUGGUUUUGUGGACCAUCUCCUCAAUCUCCACAUAAUGUUGCAACUCAGCCAUAUUUGUAAUCUCCCAAUUAAGGCUAUUUAAGAAUCGUGCCAUGGCAGCUUCUCUAUCUUCCUCUACAUUUGCUCUAAUCAUGGCAAUCUCAAUUUCUUUGUAAUAAUCCACCACGCUUCGGCUACCCUAUGUAAGACUUUGUAAUUUUUGGUACAAAUCUCGAUAGUGGUGGUUAGGUAAAAAACACCUUCUCAUCAAUGAUUUCGUUCCCUAUUCCGCCUUCUGUUUAUAACAAACUAAUCCCACCAAGUAAUAGUAUAGUUAGAAAACUCAAUCACAGCCAAUUUCACCUUUUUUGCCACUGAAUAAUUGUGGCAAUCAAAUAUGAACUUUAUUUUCUUCUCCCAUUCAAGGUAUGCUUUCGGGUUAGAUUUACCUUAAAAAGAUAAGAUUUUUAUCUUUAUGCCACCCAAACCAUCAUUCUUAUUCCUAGGUCUCCUACCCCGUCCAUCUCUCUUAUAACUACCCACUGAGUCCCCCCCCCCUUCAUCAUACUCAUCCCUAUAAUAGUCAUUGAUCUCUCCUCGAGCCGAAGCUCUUUCCCUUAUUCAUGCUUAGAGAAUAGGUAGGGGCUGCCCCACACAUGUUUUCUCUACUUGAUCCAAACACUCGUAUAUGCGCUCUAAUUCAACCCUCAUCAUCAUUCUUAUCUCUCCCAUCAAUACUUGAAUUUGCAAAUUUUGAGUUAUUGCAUAUUGGUCCUCUUCAUUUGUAUUUCGUUCUGAGUUGUGAGACAUGGUUAAUAUCUAUAAAAAAGUUAGAAAUAAUAUGGAAAUGACCUCACCUCACUCCCUUACGUAUUUUCACUUAAGAAAAUGACUCACUCAAUUCCACUCGUAUUUCACUCAAAUUUAUUAGCUUUUACCCUCUAAUAUGCUCAUACUCUCUUGUCUUUUUCUACUCGUAGUAAUUAUCACCCAGUUCUUAUCAAACUAAUCAAAUCAAUAUCAAGUUUCAAUAGCAAUUCUCAAGAUUACACUAAAGAGACUCGAAUUUCAAAAGCAAGAAUACAAUUCGUACGUAGAUUAGGUUUCAGAAGCACAAAUUAUGAAAAUUUCGGACAAGAACUUUCACGUAUGGGGUAAAACUAAUUUUGGACUCUUUAAGACACAAAUAAUAGAAAAUGGACAAAAGAUUUUAAGUGUAGAUCGGGGACUUUUUUUUAAGGGAAAUGAAUAGAUAAAAUUUACGGAUUUAAAGAGAAUUAAACCACAAGGAUGCAAGAUUGAUAAAAAGAAACCCUAAAAAUCACACAACACUGUUCAUGAUUUUUUUUGUUGUUGUUUUUUUAAUACUAGAACAAGAAUAAAAAAUCUCAAUCAAGAGUGGAAAACAAUAAAGAUAGAUGAAUCUGACCUUGGUGCCUAAGCUAUGAUACCAAAAUAAUACGAACCCUGUUAAGAACUGACGUGACCUUAAUCAAUUUAGUCUCCAAGAUCGAAUAAACUAAGGGUGUUGAAUCCAAUCCGAUUUGCUCAAUCCAUCCGAUCCACAAAAAUCCAAUUUAUAAAAAUCCUAUCCGUGAAUUGGUGGAUCGAAUUGGAUUGAAAAUUUAAAUAUCCGUAGUCGAUGGAUGGGAUAUGGAUUUACUUCUGUAAAUCUGCAAAAAUUAAGUUUUUAUUUAAUUAAAAAAUAAAAUUCAUAAAGGUAGGAAUGCUACUUACUCGAUAACAAUAUUAAAGUAAUUAAAGUAUAGUUAAAUCAACACAAUAUUAUAUCUUAUUCGAUAACAAUAUAAAAUGUAAAAUAAUUAAAUAUUUGAAUAAUUAAAUAAGAAAAUAUAGCUUCCUAAAUAUCAAAAAUUAUAAAGCAAAACAAAAACCCUAAGCCAAACAAAAUAUUUUGGCAUAUAACACCAAAUUUCUACCCCAUCGCAUGUACAAGUCAUCAUUGUUUCACUUCAUCACUUAAGGUAAUUAAGCUUAAUUUCUUACUUUCUUUUCAAGCUCUUCAAGUUUCUUAAUUCUUCCUGUUACAUCCAAACUCUCAAGUUUCAAUAUUUAAAUUCAUAAUUUAGUUAAUUUUCAUGUAUUGAUCUAAACAAAUGAAAAAAAAUUCCGGUGUGUUAUAUUUUAAAAUUUUGAAUGAAUUAUUCUAGUUUUAUUUAAACAAUUAAUUUAUUUAAUUCUUGUUUAAUUUUGAAUUUAAUUGGUGGUAAAAUUAUUUUACAUUAGAUUUUUUAAUUUAAUAAAUUAUUUUUAGAUUAGAUUUUUUUAAUUUAAUUACUUUGUAGAUUGGAAAAAAUUAAAAAAAAUUUAUUCGCAAAUCAAUCCGCCAAAUGGUGGAUUGGAUAUGAUUGGGUCAAAUCCGCAUCCAAUCCGCAAACAUAUGGAUUGGAUUUGGAUUGAGUUUUACUAAUCCAUGGAUUGGAUUCGAUUGAAAAUUUAUAAUCUGUAAAAUCAUGGAUUCGAUAUGGAUUGAUGUACAAUCAGCAAAAUCCAAUCCGCGAACACCCUUAGAAUGAACCUAGAAUUAAAUGGAACCGCGACCCGAUGCUUAAUGGAAGCAUGAGCCUUGGUAUGUGAGGACGCCACAAUUAGUUAUGGAUGAUUUGAUUAAUAAGUUAAGAGUUAGAACGCCAUGGAAAUUCCAUAAGUUCAAAGAGUUUAUUUAAGAACCAAAGAGAAUUAAUUCUCUCACCAAUUGCAUCAAAACUGAUAUGUCUCUGUUUAUUGGAUGUGAGUACAUUAUAUAGCGUUGGUUACAAGAAUUUUUGGAAAUAAAUUCUAAACCAAAAUUAAAUCGAAAUCCUAAUCUAAACGAAUAGGAAAGAAUUGAAAUUAAAUCAGAAUUCUAAUAUAAGCAAAUAGGAAAGAAUCUAAAUCAAAUCAGAAUCCUAAUAGACUUAAAUGCCUUACAUCAAUUAAAAUAGAAACUCGGCAAUUAAAAUUGAUUUGUUUCUGUACUAGCCUCCUCUAGAAACGAAAAAGUAUCUAAAAAGUAAAGUAACAUAUUUCCCGCCAUAAUGUGCAAGCCAACUUCCUAUUUCAUGUUAGUGAUUAUUUGGAAACUUCAAGAGUUUGACUCAUGCAUUUAUCCUGUGUGAUUCCUUCAAUGGGCUUCCACAAAUUUGAUUGAGCCCAAGUUGCUUGAAUCAACUUAUUAAGCGCUUCUUUGAAUUUCUUUGCUCGAGCUCUUGUGACGAGUCUAGCAGGAAUUUGAAUAAGAUCUAAAUAUACCUCAUCGCAUGUGAUUGUGACAGUUUUGUCCUCAAUCUCAUUAGUUAUUCUUGUUUCAACUAACAUAUAUUGAUUGCUAAUAAAGAGUUGUGAACAUGAACAAAUCGCCAAUAACAGGGUACCUUAGUAAGGUUACUUAUACAUGGGAUUGAGAACUCCUCUCCCAUGAAAUCUAUGUGUAUCGCCAUACUCUAUAACCAUAUUUGUGUCAGCAUAUGAUUAGAGAGCUAAGAAAGCUCCUGAAUAAACCGCCAUGAUCAGAUAGCUAAGAAGGCUCCUAAAUAAAUCACUAUUAUCAUAGAGUUAAGAAAGCUGUUGAGGAAAACACUAUCAUAAGGAGCUAAGAUACCUCCUAAGUAAAUCACCAUGAUCAGAGAGAUAAAGCUCCUAAGAAAAUCACCAAGAUCAUAGGACUAAGAAAGCUCUUGAGCAACUUGCCAUGAUCAAAAUGAGCUAAUAAAACUACUAAAUAAAUCAUCAUGAUCAAAGAGCUAAGAAAGCUUCUAAAUAAAUCACUAGGAUCAGGGCUAAGAAAGCCCAUGAGAGAAUGGCCAUGAUUAGAGAACUAAGAUAACAUCAGCCAUGAUUAGAGAACUAAGAAAACUCUAGAAUAAGUCACCAUAAAAGACAUUUAUUGCUAAUUUUUGUUUUGUCCGGGGGCCGGAGCUCCCUUGGUUACCUCACUUUCUCCCAAAGGUUACAAGACAAGUGAAUGAGUAACUGGAAGGAGCCACACGCCAUUAAGACCAAAUUUUGUCUUUUAGUUUCUUGUGCUUGAAUUCUUUCAACACAAGAAGCUAGGAGGAUCUUAUUGAGGGUGAAUUUAGAAUGAUAUUUUUGUACCAAUAAAUGAAUGAUAUGUGAACAAAUAUAAAGGAAAAAUAAGCAUAAUACUUGGAGCAAUAUAAAGAUGCCAUUUGGAACAAUUUACUAUAUUAGAUGGGCCUAAAAAUUAACGGUCAAGUCGUCAAGAUUGGACACUUUAGGUUAUUAUAGGAAAGAAUAAACCUACUACAAAAAGAAUAUUCUUGGCUUUUUUUCCCUAAGUAUGACAAAUAGCUCUAAAAUAUUCUCUCUUUUUAACCUAAAGAUGAUAUCUAGGACUAACUUUUAUUCACUUUCUUUACCACUAAAUCCUACUAUAUAAAUGUCUUAUUUAACUAAUAUUUGUGGCCCUCCACUCCUCUCUCUCAUUCUCUCCUCAUUCCACUCUCUUUAUCUCUCUAUUUUUUUUCUCUCUCCAUCGUUUAGAUCAUUAUCCAAUUCUCUAUUUUGGGGAGGCCAUUUUUAUUCUCCACCUUUAUCAUUUUCUGAACUAUAUUAGCACUCUCCAUAUCUUUAUUCACCAUCUUUAUCUUUAUCAACGACAAACAUCUUGAUAUAGUUAUCUGGUUUUUGUUAUUCAAUAGAGAUUACAAAAAAUUCACUUGGCCUGUAUUCAGACCGGACCCAACCUAUGUGAUCUGGGUAAAAUCCAGCCCAAAUUAAUAAAUGAAAUGGUUUUAGAAAUUGAAAAGUCAAUAUUGACUAUUUCCAUGCAUGGGUCCAAGCGUGAGCCAAAAAACCUGAAACCCAGAUUGAUGCCCGAUUAAUUUUUUUUUAAUUUAAAAAAAAAAAUAAAAAAUAAAGAAACACAAAUAAACUCUUUACCCAUUUACAAACCCUAAACCUAAACUCUCCUCACAACACACACACACACAACACAAGCCGCCACCUCCAGCUCUCCAAGCAAACACAACCCACCGACCAUCGUUCACUACACCUCCACAACCCACCAUUCAUCGCAUCUACAGCACUGCACCAGCAGCAUCCCAAGCACCGUACCAUACUGCACCUCCAGCUAAUGUUGUUGGCGUUGGCGGCACGCACUGCACCUCCAGUCUCUAUCGUCACUGUCAUGCAUAGCCUACAGCCUUACACUUUAGAGUAGCCAGCUGUAUAAUAUCAGCUUGUAUGUUUGUUUUGGGCCAAGAUUUCUAUCAAUAAGAAACUAUGAUACUGAGUCCUUAGAAAAAUUGUUUCAACUGCGUUUCAUCAAUUACCUAUGAAUAAUUGCAACUCUUUUUAUAUGAAUCUCUACUAUUUAUUGUGCAUGGCCACACACAUACAUUCUAAUGGAAGUUUAGAUUGAAUAAUUUACUAAAUGGUUUCCUGGAGUUGUCUUUGUUAGACCAGGUCAUUAAAAGAAUACCUAGAGUUGGAUUCCUCAUCCUAGUCUAGUUGAAUGAAUUAACUUUACAAUACAAAGGAUGCAGAAAGAAUUAUUCUUAAGUAUUAAAAAUUUAAUGAUACAUUUUUUUUAAUUUACUAUAAUCAGGCAACUGAGGCCUGGAUCAAAAAAUCGUGACUGAAGGGUGUGCAUACCCAGCCCAAACCCAAUGUUUUGCCAUCCUUAUUAUUCAUCUUGAAUAACAGGAAAUUUUUUGCGACCUUUCAUUUAUAUAGUGAAUUGGUGAUAACUUGCUCCCAUGGACAUAAGUAAAAGGUCAAAUCAUGUAAACAUCAUGUGCUCUUUAUAUUUAUAUUUAUUUUACUGUAUUUUUAAUAUGAGGACAAGAUUGCCUUUCACGUAUGAGCUUAUCUAAGAUAUCCCGAUUAUGCUUAAUAUUCUGUGAGACCACCUUAGUUUUCCCCUGAGUACACUUGAGCUACUCCCAAGCACCAUUAGUCCCCUCAGGGGCGGAUCUGUUACUGGACUAUACCGGGCUGCAGCCUGGUAUAAGAAAAAAAAAUCAAUGAGUUUGAUUAAAAUUAUGAAAAUGCCAUUAAUUAUUAAUUAUGAAAAUACCAUCAAUUGUUAAUUACAAGAUACCAUCCAUCAUUAUUACUUUUUCUUUACUUCCACCAAUACCAUUAGAAAAAACAAAAAAAAAAAAAAUUCCAAACCCUUCACGAUUCUUCAUUCUUCAUCAAUUCACCUUCACUGCUUCACAAAUCAUAAUUCAUCAUCCAUUCAUAUUUUCCAAUUUCUUUGCAAUCUGUACAUUUUUCUAUUGGUAUGUUAGUAUACUUUUAGAACUUGUAUAAAUUAUUUAUUUUUCUUAGAUAGAUUUUAUUGAUUUAUUUUACAUAUUAUUUUAAUUUAUUAUUUUGAAUGUUUGAUUGACUUUUUUUUAAAUUAGUUUUGUGAUUUAUUAGUUUGAGUUGAUUUAUUAUUGUUAUUUUUUCACUAAUAAUAUUAUUUUAAAAUGGAAAAGAUGAAGAAAAAUGAAUUGUUUAAUUUAUUUAAGCAUGUUAAUUAAGCUUGUAAUUAUUUAUUUAUUUAUUAAUUCUUAUGUAGUUUCAUGUUAUGGUAAUUUAUAGGUUAUAAUGUCCGAUAAACCCAAGCUAAGGAAAACACUCCUUUCAUUUUUUGCCAAAGUAGAUGGAGCAAUUUAAAGGAUCCGUUUAAACAUAUUGAUAAAAGAAUGAAUGCACAAUCUUCACAAUAAGGUUUAGAGAAUAGGUUGUGGCUAAAAACCUCAAUAGUAGCUACCAAGUGGUUAGAUACUAUUGAUUUAGAAUCCAUAAUUGAAGAAUUUCAUUGUUUGAAGCCGCGAAAAGUACAACUUUAGUUAUAUUUUUGUUUUGAAUUACAUUUUUAUUUUCUAUUUUUAUAAAAUUAUUUUGUUUAAAGUAAUUAUUAUUUGGUGUAAGAUUUUUAAUGUCCUCAUCUUAUUAUGUGUAUUUUAUUUUUUCUUAUAAAAUUUUAUGUUCACUUUACAAUAUAACUUUUUUAAAAAAAAAUUUAGCCCGGGGUACUUUAAAAUCUUGGAUCUGCCCCUGAGCCCCCUCUAUAUCGACUCUUAUGGAUUCCACUGAGCUCUCCCUAUUAUUCCACAUAUGACCACCUCAGCUCAGUAUAAAGAUUACCUUAUCUUAUCACCUAGUGUUCCUCAGAUAAACAUCAGAAAAACAAACCUAAAUCCAAAUUUAGCACAAGCUCCCUCAAAUAGAAAUUAAUUUGUUUGAAUCAGAUUUGAGCUGUAGUUGGUAAAAACUACUCGAUUGGUUCGAAUUAGAUCUUGACAAAAAUUUGGUGAAACAAUAGUAUUGACAUUUUCAGUUUAAUUUUAUAGAAUUAUCAGCUUCCUUCAUUAUAUCAAAAAACGGUUUGAGAGAUUGAUUAUAGCCUCAUAAUAUCAAAAAAGGGUAUGAGAGAGUGACUCGAUUAUAAGUACGGACAUCCGUGGACUGCCGUCCAGUAAAAUCUGGAUUUGUUUUUACACUACAUAAUAUCGAAAUGUAGGAGGGAAAAAAAAAAGUGAUUCCAAAUUUAAUAAAGAAUUAUUGGCUGUAAACUCCUUGAAGAUUUGUGACAUAUUAGCCAAUUGGAAUAAGUAGCUACGUCUCUCCCAUCGCUAAAACUUUGUUUCAUCUGGUGUGAAACCAAUUAUUUUGUUUUAUUUUAAGUUAUUUUGAUCGAGUGUGAAAAUAAUGAUUUUCAGGAUCACAGUGAGCAGCUAAAUUGAUAACAAAAUUUAUUGUGUUGGGGAGAUUUUGUGAACACAAGAUUUGGGGAUGAUUAUGAAAGCCAAAGCAUUCAAAAUUUUUUUAAGCAGGCAGAAGAAUAAGAUGGAUGACUAAGAAUAAAAAGAAAAAAAAUGUGAAUGUUGAAAUAAAAAUUUAAAAUAGAAAUGAUCCUCAAGUUUUCUAAUUUACAAAUACAAGUAAAGGAAUGAGAGCUUUUAUAAACAGUACCUUUAGUUGAUAACUAAUCCCAAAGUCCAAACAAGACAAUUGCCAUAUAAUUAUUAUAAUUAAAUAGUUUUUUUUUUCUUUUAAAUCAAUUAAUUUUAAUUUGGACAAGUCUUUGCAAGACAAUAGUCUCUACGAAUUUUUAUGGGAUAAUUCGUCAGAAAAGAACGGCUCAACGGCAUGAAUAUUUAUGUUUAUCCUAAUUAGCUGAUGAUGUGCUUCUAUUUCUAUAUGACCUAUCUGUAUAUAAUUAAUUUUAAAAUUUGCUCAGGUCAAGAAAUUCAAAACAAAUCAACGUGAAAUACGGACAAUUAAUUACAUGGAACGUGCUACCUUCCAUUAAUUAAAAAUAAAUAAAACUUACUAGUCUUUGAUAAUUUGAAAAAGAUGGGAGAAAAUUGUAAGAAAAAUAAUUAGAAAAUUGUUAAAAUACAGAAGGAUCGUGAAAGAUCUGCAGUCUGCUAGAACUUUGAUAUAAUAAUUGGAGUAUAACAGAGGCUUUAAUUGAAAAAUAUGUGGAUAGUAAACAAGGUGAUAUAUGCACAUUAAUGAAAUUUAUUGUUGUAACAAAAAUAUCCUGGAAUAUUUCGGGUGUAUAAAUGACGUCAUAUAUAUGUCAAUAUUGAAAAGAUAAAACCAUAGACUGUUUUCACAAACUAAUGCGACGUUAAGGUAUGAUUGAAUAAAAGUAUAAAUAAACGAUCCGUACUUUCAUUAAAUGUUUUUUAAUACUUUUAUAAAGCCAAUAUAUUUAUAUUUAUAUAAACUUUAUAUACAACAGUUCAUACAACAAUUUAUGGCUCAUUUAUGCUUACAUUUUGUGGAAGGUCUAAUGUGCAGUAUAUACAAAUAUAUGUCCAAACCUCUUGAUUAUUGGGUGCGGAUUCUUUCAUAUUUUAAAAUAUAAACCUAAAAUUAAUUACUGACCUUUUUUAUAUUUUAACAUUAGAUUGUAUUAUAAUUCAAAGAUAUUAUUACUUAAUUUUAAACUUAUAUUUUAGAACAUAUAGAUGUCUGAACCCGAUUAUAGACUAUACAUAUAUUAUACUUAUUUGAAUAAUUAAUUUGGUUGACUGUGGAAAUCGAAGUUACACGCCUGUACAUAUUUUUUGAGAUAAAAAGUAAGAGUGAGAAAUUAAAUAAUAAUAAUAAUAAUUUUUGAAAAUAUAUAUAUCCACAAACAAAAAGGCCAACGUAAGAAAUGGAUGCGGCGUUGCUUGCUCCAAAGCAUGCAGUAUGUGGUCCACGUGCAUGCGUUAUAUGUACAGAAGUUUAAUCAAUUUAUUUAUUUAUCUAAUUAAUUAGAAACGGAUUUAACGCACGUUAAUUACAAUUAUUUAUGCCAAGUUUAUAUAAAAAUAGUUGGGGUAUUUUGUGAUGAUUGAUGCUUUGCUUAAUUUGUUGAAAUACUAAGGGUCUGUUUGAAAUUAUUUUUGAGAGGCUUAAAAGUGAUUUUAAAAAGUUAAAAGUUAAUUUCAAUAUUUAGUAAAUUUUUUUAAAAAUCUCUUUUGACAAAGUCACCAUAUUCAGCACUAGAUUUUGAAAAAGUGAUUUUGAAAAAGUUGAGAAAGAAUACCUUUUCAAAAUCUAAUUUUGAGAAUAACUUUUAUACUUAAUAUAAUUUCAUAUAUAUCAUCAAAUAUAUUAUAGGAAUUGAAAAUUAUCUUUACUAAUUUAUAAAUAAAAUCAUUAACAUUAAAGAGAUUAUUAUUAUUACUAAUUAUAUCGAGAUAAAAAAUAAAAUUAAUGAUAUAAAAUAUUUAUUUUAGGGGUUCCUCUAUGAUACUGUAAUUUUUUUACAGCAUCAAUAAUGUUUUUAAUUGUGCACCAUUGGAUUUAAUCAAUGGUACACAAUAUUUAUAGGUAAAAACUAAUAAUAAAAAAUAAUGGUAAACGGUUAACAAACAUGUAAGGGGUGGAGAAGUUUGUGAAAUAUCUAUGACCACCCUUAGAGUUUGAAAUAAUUUCACUUAAAUAUCAUAUUUUAUUUAAAUUAUUUUUCAAUCCCCCUUUAAAUUUGAAAUGUGAUAAUCUUUUUUAAAUAAAUUUUCCAAAAUCUAUUACCAUUAAGUAUAAAAUAUAAUGGUAGGUUAUUUAACACAAAUCAAAUAAAUAAGUUGCAAUUGCAAAAUUUAUAUAUGAUAUAACACUAAUAAAUAACACAACAAGUACAUAUAGUUAAGUAAAUGUCAUAAAUACAUCAAUAAACUCAUUGUUAAGAUUGCUUGUAACAUAAAAAUUACUUGAUCACACAUGUUUUAAUAAAAUUUAAUAUCGUAUAUUAAAAUACUCAUUAUUUUAUAUAAUAUUAAGGGCCAUUGUAUAAUUGAUCAUGAAGUAUGUAUCAUUUUUAACACCCAUUUAACAUACUUAUUUUCUGUACUUUAUAUUUAUCUUACAGUUAAUAUCCUUACAUGGUGGGAGUUUUAAGUUUUAUAAGCUUAUAUAUUUUCAUUUUAUUUUCAAAUAUCACUUUGUUAAUUUCAUAAAAGUUAAAUCGAAUAUAUAUUCCUAAUGAGUUUUAGUUUAUGAAUCAUGAAAGAUUAUUUUAUUGAUAUCCUUGGAUUGUAAUUAUAAAAUUUUAUGUUAUGAAGAGUCAUUACUUUUGUUAUGAUAGUUAAUAGUGACAAUAAAUAAGAUAUUACCUCCGAUAAUAUUUACGUGGGAAAAAAAGUGAAAUAAAAUCAUUUAUAUUUUUAGAUUUUUAUUGAUAUGGUAGAAAAUUAUCUGAGCCUUAUAAAAUUUAACUUUCACAAGCUUGUUUUCAUUUUAUUUUCAAAUGUCACUUUGAUAAUUUCAUAAAAGUUAAAUCUAACACAUAUUCCUAAUUAAUUUUAGUUUAUGAAUCAUGAAAUAUUAUUUUAUUGUUAUUCUUUUAUAGUAAUUAUAAAAUUUUUAUGUUACGAACAGUCAUUACGUUUAUUAUGAUAAUUAAUAGUGACAAUAAAUAAAAUAUCACAUCAAAUAAUAUUUAAUGGACAAAAUGAGGAAAAAAAAUCAUUGCAUGUUUUUAUGUUUCCAUUAUAAAGAUAUGAUUUGGGAUACUUUAACUUAAAAUUUUGACACAAUAUUUGAGCCACUAAUAUAUCAUAAUCUAAUGGUUGAUAUUGAAAGUCAAAGCAACAUUUCAUAAUGUUAUAUCCUCCACCAUUGAAUUGCAUGAAAUAAAUAGUUUAAUCUUUUGUUAAAAAUUUAAAUCAAAAUAUUUCUCACUCUAUAGUUAUAUAGACAUAUAUAUUUUUCAAUAAUAAUUGGUGAAUAAAAUAUUUCUCAUUUGUUGUGACUCAUAUAGUAUUAUUAAUAAAACACAUAUAAAAUAGUUUAUUGAAAUGCCUUCUAUUAUCAUUAUUGUUUAGGUAUUAAUGGUUUGUAAUUAAAUUCAUACAAUACAAAUUAUUAUAAGACUUUGUGUUAAAUAACCUACUUGAUAUUAUAUUUUAUACUUAAUGAUAGUUGAUUUUGGAAGAUUUAUUUAAAAAAGAUUAUCAUAUUACAAAUUUAAAGGAGGGCUGAAAAGUAAUUUUAAAUAAAAUAUGCUAUUUAAGUGAAAUUAUUUCAAACUCUAAGGGUAGUCACAAUUAUUUUACAAAAAUUCUCCACCCACUUGAACGUUAACAAACUGUUUACUAUUAUUUUUAAAUUAUUUUUUUAGUACAAAUAUUGUACACCAUUGAUUAAAUCUAAUGGUUCACAAUUAAUACAUUAUUGAUGCUGUAAAUUUUUUACAGCAUCAUAGAGGAACCCUUAUUUUAGAUAUCAAUUAUUAUAUGUAUAUAUAUAUAUAUAUAUAUAUAUAUAUAUAUAUAUGUUUAUAAAUGUUCAAAUAAAAUUUGAUUUAACAUUAUGUUCAACUCAUCCAUUUAUAUUUUUACAGUAAUUUAACAGUAAGAUUACCAAAUAUAUACAACUGUUUUUAAAACUUACAAUACUUUUAAUUAAUUCUUUUUACAGCUAAUUAUUUUUACAGAACAGCUAACGAUAAUUAUUUUAAAAACUACAACAUUACUAAACUGACUCUUAGUUUAUAUCUCAAUUAAUGUGUCAUUAAUAGAAAUUCACUAUUUAAAUUAAAAUUAAUAAGAUUUAAUAAUUAUCUCUCACUUCAAUCAAUUGGAUAAUAACAUAUUAUUUAUGACAUCAAUUGAAAUAUGAAUUAAAUACCUCAAUAAAAUAAAAUAUAGUAUUAUAUUAUUGUGAUAGGUGUGUGGCUGUCCACUUAUGGCAUUGGAAAGAAACAUGAAAAAUCCAUGCAAUGUUAUCACCGCUAGCCAUCCUAUGGUUGUACUCGGCAUCAUUUGAUUGGUUGAUGAAUGCUAUAAAUAGAGAGCAUUGCUCUCUGUAAAUUAAUUAUAUCCCGAAAAUUGAAAGCAAUAGAAAGUUAUGAGCUUAGUUUGUACCUUUUGGCAUAUUUUAGGGUAAAAGCUCAUGUAGUCCCUAUAUUUUAAGAUUAGUAUCUAUUUAUUCCCUAUAUUUUUAAACCUGCCUCGAAACAUUCCUACCGUUAAAAUAUUGAUACCCCUACCGUUACUUUUUAUUUCUUUUGGCUUACUUUUAUAAUAUUAUCCUUUUAUAAUAAUUUUUUUAUUUGGACAUUAAUAAAAAGAAAAUAAUUAAAAUACCAAAUUAACCCUAAAAAAAUUAUAUUAAUUUUUAAUUGUCAAAAAUUAAAUUAUUACUUUUUAUUUCUUUUGGCUUACUUUUACAAUAUUACCCUUUUAUAAUAAUUUUUUUGUUUGGACAUUAAUAAAAAGAAAAUAAUUAAAUUACCAAUUUAACCCUAAAAAAUAAAAAAAAAUAUUAAUUUUUAAUUGUCAAAAAUUAUAUGCAAACUACCAAGUAUACAAAUGGUGCUUGCAAAAAAAUUAAUAUAAUUUUUUUAUUUUCUAGGGUGAAAUUGGUAAUUUAAUUAUUUUCUUUUUAUUAAUAUCCAAACAAAAAUAUUAUUAUAAAAGGGUAAUAUUGUAAAAUUAAGCCAAAAGAAAUAAAAAGUAACGGUAGGGGUAUCAAUACUUUAAUGGCAGGGAUGUUUUGAGGCAUUUUUAAAAAUAAAGGGACUAAACGUACACUAAUUUUAAAAUAUAGAGACUAAAUGAGCUUUUACCCCAUAUUUCAUAUAGCCCAUCUCAUUUCUAAUUUUCUUUAUUAUCCAUAAUAUUUGUCUAAAUUAGCAAUUACUUCCGGCCUAAAUCUAUCAAUAUUUUAAUACGGUAUUAUACUAUUAUAUGUCAGUUGGUUUAGUGGCGAACUCAUAUACUUAAAUUAGGGGAGGGUUUAGUUUAAAAUGUUUUAAUUUAAUUUGGGCUGCUUAUUUUUUUUUUUAAUGUUCACAAUGAGUGCAACAUUUAAAUUAAAUAAUUCGUUAUUAUUGUUUUUUAAAAUUUAAGAGACAAUACUAAAAUUUGAGUUUUUGAGAACCAAAUAUCUAAAGAAACAAAAUAUAUAGCUAUUGGAAUUUGAACCAAGUCUCCAAAAUAACUGAAAAGCACUUUUACCACUAAACUACAAGUAUUUUCUUUAUAAAAAUGGGGUAAAGGACACCUACACACUUACGGUUUAAGGAAAUAGUAAAAAAAAACCCCAGGUUUUAAAAAAGGAACACCAAGACCCCUUUUUGCCCAUAAUACCCUUUGACUAUAAUAAUUAGAAAAUUGACUUUAAAGGUUUUUAAUUAACACAAAUUUUCUGGUAAAAAAAAAUUAACACAAAUUUAAUAUAAUCUAUCUAGUAGACUAAUAAUAUUAAAUUAUUUUUUAUAUUUAAAAUAAUAUUAAAUCAUUAUAUUUAUUUUAAUAAUAUAUUUGUAAUAUUAUAAAGAUUUUAAAUAAAUUUUUGGGUUAAGUAGAUUUUACAAUUAAAAUUAUCUCCAUAUUAAUAAUAUUAAAAGUAACUUUUACAUAAUAUUCAAAAUAAUUUUAAUUUUAUUUAUUUAUUUUAUUUCUAUCUAUUAUUAAAAAUUACUUUAAUAUAAUAAAAUAAGUCUAAUAGAUUGAAAAAUAUAAAAAUAGUUUUAAAUAUUAAAAUUAUUUUGAAAUGUAUAUUAUUACAUUUAUUUUAAUGCCAUAUUUCCAUUUAUUAUUAAAUUUUGGGUUUUUUUUUGGAUUUAUAGAGUUAAAGGGCAUUAUGGUCAAAAAGGAGUCUUAGUGUCCUUUAUUGAAAACUUGGAGAUUUUUGUGACUAUUUUCUUAAACUUUGAGAGUGUAGAUGUCUUUUUUCCUUAAAAAAUGUAAAUUUUUUUCGUUAAACUCUCUCAAAAAAAUUUGAGAUACAUUUAAAAGGAAAAAUAAUGGCUCGGCAUGAGCUGGUCAGAAUAACGUACUGUGUAUGUUUCUCCCAGUGCUUCGAUAAUUGUAUAGUUUCUCCUAGUCUGUUUAAGACUUGAACUUUCUUGUUUAAAAGAUGCUAACUUUUUUCAAAUAUGGAAUUUCCUUUAUUAUUAACUUGUAGUUACAUGCGUUUGCCUUUCAUUUUCAUUAUAAUAUUCUCCUUUUAUGCCUUACUGCCACUCAUAUUUUGAGGAUAAGAUUCAUUAAGUUCUCUUAACAUGGGCUGUUUUUUUUUUUUUUUUUACUUAAUAACUUAACUCACUUAAUUUGAAUUAGUUAAGUUAUUGAGUCCGCUUGUUUUAUUAACUUAAUUAAAACUUUUAAUCAAUAGGUCAUUAAAUUAUUAAGCUAAUUUUUUUAACUUUUUACUUAAUCUAAAAAGUUUGAAAAAUAUCAUUAAAAUAUAUUCUCUAAAAUAUUACUACCUAAUUGAUUAAUUUUCAUUCUCACUUAAAUAAAAAAUUUAAUAAUUAGCAUUUUUACCUAUCUCUGUAACUUGUGAUAAUAUAGUGGUAGACUAUAUUAUUUUUAUCUUGUUAUUAUCUUCAAAUUAGCAUUAUUUAUCUUCAUAAUUUUUUAUGAAUAUUUUUUUGUAUAAAAACAUCAUAAACUACAGUAAAAUUGAUUAACAUACACUAAUCUAAAAUAUUAAAGGAUUGUAUUCAAUUGAACAUGAUUUAUGUUAUAAUAAUAUAUUAUCUUUUUUAUGUUCUUUGAGAUGUUUAUUAUUUGUUUAAUAUUUAUAAUUUGUAAGGGUACAAAUGUAAAAAUAUUAGUUUUCAAUUUUUUUAAGCAAAAAAAUUAAUAUUUAUUUUUAGCAAUUAAAAAAUAAAUAUAUCAUUUACAUUCGAUAUUCAGCUCUAUUUAUAAUUUCUACUAAUUCAUUUUUAUUCAAAUUCCAAAAAAAAAAGAGACCACCUAAAGUUUUACAUAAUAUUUUCUUGACUGAUUUAACACAUAAUUAUAUGAUAUAAUUCUCUCUCUCUCUCUCUCUCUCUCUCUCUCUCUUUAUAUAUAUAUAUAUAUAUAUAUAUAUAUAUAUAUAUAUAUAUAUAUAUAUAUAUAUAUAUUCUCCCUCCAUUUUGAAUUUGGCAGCCGAGCCCGUUCCAUUCAAAAUUAAACUAAUUCUUCCAAAGAUAUUGUGAACGGAGUUAAAAUUCUUGACAUCUUGCUUCCCUUGGAUAAUUCUCUUUUUAAUUAUUGCUUUCGCCACUAGGCCUUUGGCCGAAGUGGUUGGGCUGCUACCCUCACAAGUGUGAGGGCAGUGGUUCAAGCCCCCACAAAAGUAUUGUGGGGGCUAAAUAUUUAUAAGUUCUUCUCCCUUAUGAAAUGCGAGUGGAGCAUGGACAUCCCUCCUCUGUGAGGGUUAUUUGUCUGGGUGUACUUCAUAGAAUUUAAUGUAAUAAUGUAAGUCUCAGUUAUGUAUAUAUUAUUGUAAAUAUCAGUGUGAUGUCGGUUAUAAUAGCAGUUGUAAUUGUAAAUAUCUGUGCAAUGCAGUAAUCUGAUGCGUAAUCAGUAUUAAAAAAAAAUUAUUGCUUCUUUUUUAUAAUUCUCUUUUUAAUUGUUAUGAUGAAUAAUGUUGAACUCUUGAUAUCUUGAUUCUGCUAUAUAAUUCUACUUUUAAUUGUUUGCACCGUACAUGUACAGACAACAGCCACCGCAUCAGAAGGAAAAAGAAAAUAGAAGAUGAAGUUAAUUAGUAUUUUAUCCGUAAAUAAUUUACGAUUAUGUGACUUAGAAGGUGAGUUUAAAAAGCAACAAAAAUAAAAUAAAAUAGUACCUAUGUUCAGUUUUGGUCUUCCAAGUAAUAGUAUUUAAUCAUGGUUUUGUAGUUGACAAUUUUAAGAUCUGAUCCAAAGGCUCUUAUGUUAUGGGAUUUCGUAUGGGCUUCAUAUUCACAUGAGAGAAGAUGAUGUCAGAUAUUUUAUAUUCACAUGCUUUCAUAAAUUAAUUAUUAGUUUCAAUAACGAGAGCAAUUUACCAUAUCGGAUUUGAUAUUGUUAGAUAUUGCUAGGGGUUACCAUUCUGAUAUCUCUUAUAAUCUAUCCUAACAGAGUUAAAAAUAAAUAUAUUAAGAAACCCUAAUAUAGUUAGAAACUUCCUUUUCACUUAAGGGCAGUUAAAAAAGCAAUACAACCCAUUAAUAUAUAUAUAUAUAUAUAUAUAUAUAUAUAUAUAUAGAAACUGCGAAUUUAGAGGGAUAAAAUAGUUAUUUUACCUGGUGAAGAGGGCUGCUCAAAUUGAUAAUGAAAAUUGUGUGUGUAUGUGUGUGUAUGUAUAUAUAUAAAUGCGGAAAGCAAGCAAUCAAUAAUAUUAAAAAAAUGGUAAUUGAUUCUUGUAGUCAUUAUUUUAAUUGAGGGGUUUAAUUUAUUAAUAAAGGAUCUAAUUAAAGUCAAAGCUUAGAUGCGACCUAGUGUGUGUAAUAUACUAUCCCUUUGAGAUUAGAGAAUUGACUUUGGUGUGCCUCAAAAGCAGCAUAUAUUAUUACAAAGAAAAAUUCUGCAUCUUGUUCUUCUCAAUGGAUCAAACAGAUCAAGAAAGUGAAAUGGAGAUUGAUCUCUCCUUGAAAAUAGAUGCUCAAGAAGAUGAAAAACCAGAAAAUGGAGACCAAAAUCAAAAAGUGCACGAAGACAGAUUAGACGAAAAAUAUUCACAAGACAAAGAAAGAGAAGCUGAAGAAUUAUCCUUACAGGAUGAAAACAAGAACACAGGAGAGGUACUAUAUCUAUUACUCUCUCUCUCUCUCUCUCUCUCUCUAUAUAUAUAUAUAUAUAUAAACACACGAAUAUCCUUUUCCUUUUGCUCUUUCUUCAGUUGUCCUGUUUAUAUCGUUUUCCUUUUGCAAGGAAAAAAUAUUUGCAAAGGUUUUUUCCUUUUUUUUUCCUCUUCUCUUAUACUAUUGUAAUUUGGAAAACCUUGAAGGUAAAAGAAAAUUUUAUUGUUUUUGUUCUGAUGGAACAAACAAAUUAAAGCUGCUAUCCCAUGUCAGUUAUCCGUGUUGCAAAAGGAGAUGAAUAGGAUGAAAAAAGAAAAUACAUUGCUGAGGAAAGUGGUAGAGCAAACCAUGAAAGAUUACUAUGAGCUUCAAGUGAAAUUGGCCGCGAUUCAGCAAAGUAGCCAGCAAAUGGUAUGAUUCAUUUCUAUUUUUAAAUCUUCUUUGUUCUGAAUUAAUUUGAGAGUCAAUUCAAUUGGUCUGAUUAUUAAAUAAUUUUGGUGAUGCCACAUCUAUUUUUUCAAUUUGUUUAGGAUAUUUCACAUGCCUUUUUCUCACUGAAGGGUAAUGAAAAGGCUUUUCAAGAACCAAAGGGAGCUGCCCAAAUUUUAGAAACAAAAAACGAAAGUCCCCUAUCAGCAUCAUCAAGAGAUGAUUUUUCUAAAAGGAUUAGUACGGAAUUAGGGUUAUCUUUGAGGUUGCAAAUUGAAAGAGAGGAAGAUAAAAAAGACAACAAAGAGGUCAUUGCUGCAAGCUUUCCAUUAUUACAAAAAAAGGUUGAACAGAGUGAUCAAUUCUCUGGACAUCCAAGCCAUGUUGCCUUGCCACCAAACAGAAAAGCUAGGGUUUCAGUGAGAACAAGAUGCCAAGCAGCAACUGUAAGUUCACCAAUUGUCCAAACAUUAUUAAUCAACCUUUUCGCUAAAUGCUAAAUUUGAGUUUGAUUGUAGAUCAAUGAUGGAUGCCAAUGGAGAAAAUAUGGUCAGAAAAUAGCGAAAGGAAAUCCUUGUCCCCGAGCUUAUUAUCGAUGCACAGUUGCUCCUGGAUGUCCUGUUAGAAAACAGGUAAUUAAAAUUCUCUAGCAAUUUUCAGUAACAAACUUUUUAUUGUAUAUAUAAUUUAUAUGUGUUAUUCAAUUCGCACAAAUUUUCAUACAUUUUUUUGUACUUUUAAUUAAUUUCUUCUAUUCCUUUUUUUUUGUUAUAAUUAUUUGACAAACCUUUAUAAUUUGGAAUAAAGAAAUAUUUUCUAAAUUUUGAUUAUUAGGUGCAAAGAUGCCUAGAGGACAUGUCAAUUCUCAUAACAACGUAUGAAGGAACCCAUAACCAUCCACUCCCUGUGGGUGCAACUGCCAUGGCAUCAACGGCCUCCUCGGCAGCUUCAUUUAUGUUGCUGGAUUCAAGUUACAAUCCUCUAUCAAAUGCUGGCAAUAAUCCCGGUUUCUUCAAAGCAUCUGAUCUACAUUACGAAAAUGCACAAAUGAACUCCUUUGCUUAUCCGCCGAGCUCCCGGCAUGUAAACCCUAAUGAUCCUUCAAAAGGGAUUGUGCUUGAUCUAGCAGCAAGUUCCUAUGAUCUUCAUCAUCAACAACAAUUAUUAUUCCCAGUGGCUGCUAGCUCCUCAUCACAUUCAUCGUCUCAACCUGGUUUCAGCUGAAUCAUAUCAAGCUAUAUCACAGUUAUAUUUGCACCAUCUCUUAUUUUAGCUCUAGAAUGGAGUUGAUAUAGAAGUUGUGGAUGCUAGUUGGUUUAAUGGGUACACUUUCUUCGACUUUGUACAAGAAAUUUAAGAUUUGAAUCCACUCGUACUAAGGUUGAGUUGGGAUUCAAUUUAUAUUCAUGUACGUAAAUUUAAAAAAAAAAAUAAAGAGAAGAGAGAGAGAAGGUUGGAAAAAGCAAAGAAAAUUACUCAAGUUGGCUAACAUGUGACUACAAUUGCUUCUGACCAUAAAUUUAGGGUUUCUGUUGCGGCUACUAUUCCCUCCAGCUCUAAUUAAUAAAGAAAACAAUUUAUACAACUCAUUCAACGUGGGGCCUUAUUAAAUUUCUUCUGUAAUUCAUCCUGGGAUCCAUGGGGAGGCUAGUAGCCGCGACAAGUGGGUCAUUGAAUAAUCUUCGAUCGGUAUUCAUCACCUCGAAGAAUCAGAAUAAUACUUUGUUUAUAAAAAUAGAGGGUUUUAGUUAUAUAUGUAGCAUAUUUGUAAAGAGUUUAUAUUUUCUAGAUUUUGAUUCUCAUCUUCAAUAGAAUGUUGUUCCUAGUAAACACUACUAUUUUUUGUUUUGGAUCUUCCAAAUCAUUCCGGUGGGAGAUUCAGACUCUUUUUUUUUUUUUUUUUGAUCCUUCGAUAAAAAAAAAUUAACUCUUUUCAUUAAAAUUGGAGGUAGAACCAAUAAAGAUUUCUUUUUCUAUUAAUUUCUAGAUUUGAGUACCUCAUUCAAGAAUUGUUUUUGCUCCGGUCAGUAGGAAUAAAUAAAAAAGAUAAAUCCCUUAUAAUACACCAAAUCUAACUUGGUUAUUGAUAGAGUAAAUAGAUUUGCCAUUUCUUGAACAAAAUCAUGACAUAACAUGGAUCCCCUCUGUUUUAGUCAUGAAAUAGAUGAAACAAAUUAAAAAAUAGAUUUUUGUCCAAGAAUGAAAUUUUAUUGGAACUAUCCAUAUCCAGUUCAUCCUUCGAAACCAUUUCACAUCCCAGAUCUAAUGAAAUAGGAUGAAUUGAGAUGAUAUUUUGUAAAUACAUAAUUAUCUUGGAUAUAUUAACAUUUUUUCUCUGAUUGCAUGGAAGGGACAAAAGAAACAUCCACUUCUUUCUUCAACAAUUUCUAGUCUCAAAUGGACUCUCAGUAGGAUUCUAUGAAAUUAUGACCAUCAGUUAGAGGAAGAAGAAUGAAUGGAUCUUGUAGGAUUCCCAAGAAAUUCUUCAAUAUCUUCCAAAAGUAUAUGCGUAUUCAUCUACCUUUUAUGUUCUUUGAUAGCUAGGACAUUGAUUGAUCAAUGUGUGAUAUUAUGGAUCCUCAUAAAUAAUUACGGAAUCAAAAUGAUCUCUAGAUUGAUUAGAAGAUUCUUUGAAAUGGCUAGAAUCUGUUACUUGAAUGAAACUUAAUCUUGUGGAAUCAUAUUGAAUAUUUGACUAUAUAUUUUGUACCUUGGUAAAAAAAUUGAUCCUUGUUUACCAACCACACAUUGUCUAACCAAAUCCAAUUCUCUCUCGCUAUGUUCCUUAAAAAAUUCAAUUCUUGUGGAUUCUUCUCCUAACUAAGGAAGAGAUCUUGGCGAAAUUGCCACAUAUGAAAUUGAGCACUAUUUUGCAAAGAAAUAACCCACUUGUUUCUCAAGAAGAGGUGGAAAAAAUGCUCAAUAUCAUUUGAUUGAAUAGUUGACCCAACCCCUUGUUGUUAGAGGAAAAUUGAUAUUUUUUCACGAAAAGUAACUAUGAGAUAACAAAUCCAAUCUAUCAUUACGAUUUCAAAUAAAUGUCUCGAAUUCAAGUUGAUUAUGUUUCACCUAUUACUUGAGAAAGACUAUCAACAAUUCCCAAUCAUGGUCCUUGCAAUCGGGUCACCCAUAUGAUAUACAAAAGAUAUUUGAGAUCUUUAUCUCUAUUUCAGCAAUCAGUUUCAUUACGUAUCUUACAACUAGAAUCCUUUUUUUUUUCCAAGGUAAUUCCUCCACCACCGCGAACCAAUUAGAUUCAGGUAUGAUAAACUUUUUAGUUAUUGGGAGAACCCAAGUACUCUCUUCCAAAUCCAGGAAAAGGGUUUUAGAGGAUUUUUUUUUUCUUUUGGAAGAUACAAGAGCGAAACAAUCAACCUAUUGAUACUAGAAGACCCAAAAUUGAAAUUUCUUCCAAUGUAACAAUUCUGGGUCCAAUAGAAUUCAUAAGUAUAGGAAGAAUUGUUGGAUCUCUAAUCCAAUUUUGUUGGAUCCUUCAUCUAACUUUGGAUUUAUAUGUGAAUAAUCAUGUGUUACAUAUUGUCGUAUAAGGCUAAGCCCAAUUAAAACUGAUCUAUUAAGAUUUUCAAUAAUUUGGACUUCAAUAUAUCUUAUAGGGUAGGGGCCAUUAAUAUAUAGAGACUUAAGAGUAAUUGUUAUUUCUAUGAUGGGCUGAAAUAAGAAUAUCUAAAGAUAACAGAAAAAGUUAUCUAAAUAAAUUAUUAUAGUGCCCAAGUCACACGUAUCAUUCUGUUCUUUUUGACAUCCCGUCAUCAAAGAUAGUGCAUAAAGGAAAUUAAAGAAUUCAUUAGGAGAAUGUGUUGAUUUAGAAGACAAACCACAAGAUCUCUACAAACAAAUUAAGCACAAUGGAUUCACGUAUGCCUCUGCAUAUUUAAAUAAUUGAUUUUUGAUGAUACAACAUGAAUGUUCCUGAAUUUUAAGUGAUGGCUUUAACCAAAGAUUAGUGUUCUUACAAGAAGCCCUGCAAAAUAGAGAUUUUCUCUUUUGACCAUAUGUUGAUUGUUAAGAUGGUAUAUAAGGAUCACUAGUACAAACAAUACUACACACUUGAUCGUGAAAUAUAGAUUGCUUUUUUAACCCUAUAAAUUGUGUGAAAGUAAGAUACUCUGAAUUCAUGGAUCCAAGAGUCUUAUAAAAUGUUCUUCCUGGAAAAAAUGUGAAUGAAAGAAUUCUGGAAUUUAUUCUACUCUUCUAAUUUAAUGAGGUUUUCUUGUCUUUGGAUUUUGAUUUGAAUUCCUUUUUAGUAGGAAAAUUAUUCUAAAACAAGCAUGUUAAAUUUUAUUAUAAAAAGUUAAAGACACAAGCUAUUGUAUAUUGGAUUGUGCUAUUGUAAAUGCUGAAAAACAAAAAUUAUACAUUUAUCAAAAAUAAAGAGAAGACAACUAAAUUAAUGACAACUCCACUACAUGUCACGACCACGACCCCGACCCUUAGGGCACGUGAGAAUUAAGAAUAUUUUAACUAUUACAAUACUAUGAGGUAGGAAAAAACAACAACAACAACACUACAAUGAGAAAUUUGACUAAAGCGCCUAUUUACUGCAAAUUUAAAGCAAAUUCUAAUACAACAUAUGAAUACAAUAAAUGCAAGUAGAAAAUAUCUAUUUUUAAAAGUGAAGACUUCUUAGAGGAUUCCAAACUAUAACAGAAUAAUCCACUGAAAGUUAUAAACUUCUCAACUAUAAGAAGUGAUAAGUGCAUAUUUUCCAUAUAUUUUGCUAUUAAUUUCUCUAUCUUUUUCUUGUUUUGGUCUUAAAUAUUCUAGUUAUUUUAGUUAAUUUUUAAUUUAGUAAAUUAUAUUUUAUUAUGUUAAUUUUUAUAUUUUGUUAUUUUAGGUGCAUUUUGGGAAUAAAGAGGAAUUAAAUCAGAAUAUUCAAGUACGGAGAGCUUAAAGAAGAAACUAAUUAGAAAUUUAAGGAAAAUAAUGGGAGUUAAAAUGGAAGAAAAUCAAAGCAGCCAAGGCCUAAUUAAAGUUCAUACGUGAAGAUGAGAAGAAUUAGCAUUGGAAAUAAUUUAAUUAAUAAGGCAAACACAUUCUUGUGAUGGGCUUUGGCCAAAUUGUUAUUGGCUUAUUAAUUAAAUAAGUCACGUGCAUGGCAUUGAAUUAUGGAAAGCAAAGUGAAACAAAAAGGGAAAAUGGGCUUGCACGUGAAUCCAAGAAAGUGGCGGCUUGACUUUUGUCUUUAAUCCUUUUCAUGUGAGGAUUUAAGGCACAAUAUAAAAGAGCCAAGAGCCGCUGGACGGAAAAAAAGAAAAGAGGAAGGCGGAUGCAAUUCGGCAGCAAGAGGAAAAUCAACAACCGCAAGAAGAGGAAAAUCAGCAGUUGGAAUUCAAUUGAAGAAAAAGGCAGCCGCUUGAAUUAAUCUCCAUGAUUAGUUUUGUCAAUUCUCUUAUUCCCAAUUCAAUUAUGUUAGGCUAGAUUUUUAUUUGGUUGAGGGUGAAUUCAAAACCCUAAACAUGCUAUGCAAUUAAAUUUAAAUUCUAUCAUUCAAUUUAUUUAAUUGAGAUUGUUUAUGUUCUUCUAUAAUUAAUGUACAUGGUUUAUUCUUGUUUUAUUUGAGUGGCCAAUUAGAUAGGACUUGAAUAAAUUCUAUUGCUAGAUUAAAAUUCUUGAUCCGUAAUUGUCUUGAUAUUUUAAUUAUUAGUAGCAGGUUGGAAUUAGUGAUUUCAAUUGAAGAACAUAACCUAGGUUAAAUAAUCCGAGCUUGUGUGUUUAUUGCCUAGAUCAACCUAAUAUCUUUCUUUGUUUAAUGCUUCCAUUAUCUUAAAUUUAAAGAGCUUGUUUUAAAUUAUUUAAUGGUUAGAGAUUAGGUGAAGAGCUUAUUUUGCCUAACGACACACUAAGGAAAGAUUGAGACUAACAGAGCUUAUUGUUGUCUACGGUUGAUAGUUUUAAUAUAAAUUGAUGAUAGAAUUGAUAUAUUAUGUGCAUGUUUGGUGGUGGCGAAUGAUCCUUUAACCAAAGUUUUCAUCAUUAUUAUUUCUUUCUCCUUUAAUUAGAGUUUUUAUUAAAUUCUUGUUCGUAAUUUUAAUUUCUUUAUUUCUUACUAUUUAGUUAAAAAUUCAUAAACCCCCCUUUUUAUUUUUAAUUGGCAUUUUCUUUAGUUAGAUUAAUUUGUAUUAUUAUUACUAUUAUUAUUAUUAUUACUAUUACUAUUAUUUUAUUUUAAAUCUUGCUUUGGAGUUAAUAAUAAAUAUAACUAGCAUAGUCUCUGUGUGAUCGAUCCUUACUCGCUCUGUACUAAUUAUCUAUAUUAGUGGUAAGGUUUUAAAUUUGGUGUACCUUAACGACACUACCAAGAAGACAUCAAACUCUACUUUACCCCACGUAUCGACAUCCCCAAGACAUGAAAAGUAAUGGGCGUGAGCUAAUAACUAAUAGGUAGAUAUAAGUAAUUGAGGUUUCAAUAAUAUCAGUAAAGGCCGAAUGGUUAGGGCUGCCGCCCUCAGAAUAUUCUAAUCCCCACAUAAGCAUAUAGGGAUAAUUCCUUCUUGAAUUAUAUUGUAUAAUUGAGUGCACUACAAGAAAACAAGUAAUAGAUGACGGAAAAUAACUAUCAUAAAAGGAAGUGCAUAACAGACAAUUCAUUCGUUAUCUAUGUCAUUGUCAUUAAUUUAUGAUAGAAUAUUUUUUGUCAUGAAUUCAUGAUGUUAUUUCACAGUCAUAUGUCCGUCACACAAUAUUUUGAUAUAAAAAAAAUUUAAAUUUAAAUUUAUUUAAAGUUUCGCGCAAUUUUUUUAAAUUUUUCGGGGGAAAUUAAAUUGUCAUUUGUAAAUUUAUUAUUCAAUUUUGGGAAAAUGUUUUAUAACAGACUUUAUGAUGGGCAUUUCCCAUCAUAAAGUUAUAUUUAAAAUAUAUAUAUAUAUAUAUAUAUAUAUAUAUAUAUAUAUAUAUAUAUAUAUAUAUAUAUAUAUAUAUAUAUUAUGAUUACAAUUUAUUUGUGAAAUCCUGUUUACAAAUUUAAUUAAUUAAUAAAAAUUGAUAUAAUAAAAAAAACUAAAAACAAUUAAUAUUAAUUAACAUCCAUUAAAUUCAACAAAUUAAUUUCAAAAUAAAUACAUUUAGUAAGCAAUGUCAUCACCACCAAUAGAUAAUAAAACAUCCCAAAUUAAAAAGGACCAAACUAAAAUAUAAAAAAAUAGUUAAAUUCCAAUUCAACUUCAAGAAAACUUCAAAUUCCAGCCACUAAGCCAAGUUACCCAACAAAACUAGGGGUGGGCAAAAUCGGGUUCGGGUCGGGUUUGGAUCAACCCGAUCGGGUUUCGGGUUGGUCAGGUUGGAUAAAAAUCGAUCUGAGCUCCAUCCGAACUUAUAACCCGAUCCAAUCUGAUUCGAAUUAAUUCGGAUCGGAUCGGGUUAAAAAGUCGGGUGGAGUUCGGAUCGGAUCGGGUUCGGGUUAAUUCGGGUUUGGAUUAAAUUCGGGUUAUUCGGAUGAAUUCGGGUCGGGUGUAAUCGGAUCGAAUUCGGGUUAAUUCAGGUUCGGAUUAAAUUCGGGUUAUUCGGAUCAAUUCGGGUCAAUUUGGGUUAUAAUUAAUUUGGCAAUUGGGGAGGUGAAAUUAGGAAAUUAAUUUAUUAUAAUUUUAUUGUAUUUUUUCCUGAGGGGUUUUGGUGCUAGAAAGUCACAUGAAAUUAUCUUUUCUAUUUUGUGUUGUUGAUUAUGAGGCUCAUAAUGAAUCUUGCACCAAGCAUGCUUACAAAAUUUUGUUCAUAUUAAAAUAAAUUAGGUUAUAAAUUUAAACGGAGGAUAUGAACCAGAUCAGAUGUUACACAAAGGCUGUAUUGGAGAGAUAUUCGUUAAACCCUGUUUUAUAUGCAUCCCUGCAAAAUAUUAUUAGUAAACUUUUAGGUUACUCUAUUAAACGUAACUUUAAUUGAGUUACUCCAUUAAUUAUCUUUAAUUAGAGGGAAGAGAGUGAAAGGGAGAAACAAAAUUGUAUGACUUCUAAUAAAAUAACUUAUAAAUUUAAAAAUUAUGUACAUAUGUUAAAAUAUUAUUUGUUAGUGGUUUCAUAUUAGAUUAUGAAGACCUAAAACAUCAGGCUAGAAUUUCUCCUGUCCAAAAGUUUUUCACAAUAAAAAAAAUGAAUUAUUUUUUACAAAUUUUAAUCUUAUCCUAUGGUCAUGUUUGUUCAAAAUUCAAACAAAACCUUAACGACUCGCUAUGUGGCACAACAAUAAGUCUUAAUGUCUUAUAGUGAAACCCAUUAAAUCUAAUAUUAAAAUAUAAUAAAUCACAAAAAAAAAACCCUCUACUCUACCAAAUGUCAGAACUCAAUCAGGGAUUGAUUCAUUUUCAUUUUGGGCUUCUGGCAAUAAUAACAUGAACGUGCAUGUCCUUUAUAAAACAAGCAUUUGUGGCUUGUGCACUUGCAGAAUUUGUCAAUACAAAGAAAUACUCACAUUCUGGCAAUAACAGAAUUUGUGCACUUGCAGACUAUUAAAACCAACCCAACUUGUCAAUACAAAGAAAAAUCUUCAAUGGAGUAUGCCAUCAAUGCUUUAAGCUAUAACAAAUACUCAUACCUCUCCCACCUUCCUUGUCCUCCCUCAUUCAUCCAUCCAUUCAUUUCAACCAACAAAAAAAGAAAACUACUAUAGAAUUAAAUUCAAAUGAUUCAAAAUUAAAAAUUAACACAAAGCAUAAAAUUAAAAUUAACACAAAGUUUAAAUUUAAUAGUCUCCAUCCAAAGCGCAAUGUCCAAUUCUAAAAUCUAAACAUUAAUCUUUAGAACAAAAAAUUAAACAUAAUUAAAUAGUUUCCAUUUUCCAAAACACAAAUGACAAAGUUCCAAAAUCCAAAACACAACAAAGUUUAAAUGUAAAUCUAGAUCAACUUCCUCCACGGCUCCACCGUUCCUCGCAAGCACUUUGACAACUUUUAACUUCAAUUUCUUCUACUCCAAGUUGAAGAAUUGAAGCAUAUAUCCCUUAGGGAAAAAUUGAAAAAAUAAUAUAUGAUAACCGUUUAACUACUUUCUUUAAGCCGCAUUACAAAUAAAGGGACAUUAAACACAAACACAUAUGCAUGUGUGUACUUGAUUAAAUAUAAGAAAAAAAAUUAAGUCAAUUGUGGCUUAUUUCAUGGCAUUCAUCACCAAGUAAAUUUAAUAAUAAUCCUAAUUCCUAAGUAAUACCAUUCCAGCAAUUUCAAUGUGUCUAAAAUAAAUGAAACAAUUAUAAUAUUACAAUUUGAAUUAAAACUUAAAAAUUAAAACUAUAACAACUAUUGUCUAUUAUUAUAGUGUAAAUUACAACCUAAACAUAAAAUAUGAAAUUAUAAAUAAUAAUAUAUAUUAAGAAUUACAUUUCAAAUAUCCAUAACACCUAUAUCAGCGCUCACUGUUUCCACCAUUGAAGCUUGUGAUCUUACAAACUCUUUAAAAUGUCAAAAAAAAAAUGAAAUUAGUAAGUAACUUAAGUACAUGUAGAUGCUAUUUAUAAAGUUAUAAUGCAUCUUAACUUUAUAAAGUAUGAGAAAAAUACUACCUUCUUGUAGCUCCAUAUGGAAUAUCUGCUCUUUAAUAUCUUCCUGAAGAUUGUAGACAGGAUUAGCAAAAAGUUUAGCUUGUAACCAAUUUUCGGUGCAUAUCAAUGCCUCAACCAUACAAGGGGUCAAAGAACUCCGAUAUUCGUCAAUGACGCGAUGCCCUGUGCUAAAGGCAAAUUCAGACGCCACUGUGGAAACAGGAACAGCGAGGCAUCCCUUGCAAUUUUCUCUAAUAUCGGAUACUUCAAUCCAUUAACCUUCCACCAAAGCAAAACAUUGAGCUUAAGAUUGCUUGGAUCUUCAACUGGGUCACUCAAAUAUCGUUCCACCUCAGAUACUACUCUCUUGCCCUCAUUUCUAAACAAACACUUUCUGAGCAUACCCAAAGAAAGGGCGAGAAACUCGAAAAAUGUCAUCACCAUCACCACUAGGACCCUCCGGCAAACCAACCUCAGUUGUAAAAUAAAGAGAAUAACUUGUACCACCAUAGCUGCCGCUAGGAACACUCUCACUACACAUCGAUCGUGUAGAACUAGAGCACAUUGCACUAUAUGCACAUAAAGCUCAUUCAACAAAUCUUUCACUGCUUUGGUCAUUUCUUCAACUUUCUAACCAUCAUUGGCAAAAAUGAUCUCAAAAAUAUGUUUGGCAAAAUCCAUUUUAGCUCGUGGAUUAAGAAUAGAGGCAACAAUCAACAUUUUAUUUAUCUUCCCUGAAGACUCCCAAUAUUUAUCAAAUUUUUCCCUCAUUUGAUAAGCCAUAGCCACCACCCAAGGAUCUUUACUUGCCUCUAAUGCAGUCAAUGAACUCUCAAUUAAGCCAAUGGUAUCAUAACAAAGAUUAGAAGUCACACUCAAAGAAGCAGAAAAUAACAAAGUGGCAUUAUAAAAUACCUUCAAAAACUUCACAAUUCACCCUGCACUCUCCCAAUCCUCAGGUCCAGGCGGGCCCACCCUCUUAGCGUUAUUUUCUUUCUCGAGACAGUAUGCCUCAUACGGUUUAUCCACCUCUGUCAUUCUAUCAAAUGCUGCUUGAAACUUCAACGCAGUCAUCAACAUUAAAUAGGUGGAAUUCCACCUAGUAGGACAAUCCAAAACUAUCGUUCCAUUGGACAUUUCACUUGUUGAGCACACUGUUUAAAUGCAUGUAGCCUCGUAGUGGAGGAUCUCACAUACUUCACAGCAUUCCGAAUGGCGGCAACACUACCAUGCAAUUCAUUCAACCCCGAAACAACAAUCAAGUUCAAAAUAUGUGCACAACAACGCACAUGCAUAUACUGACCCACCAAUACAAUUGCAUCAUCAUUCCUUCAAGCAAGUAAUUGCAUAGUCACAUAAUUAACAGCAACAUCAUUUGUACUGGCAUUAUCAACAGUUAUUGCAAACAACCUCUCUAUCCCCCAAUCUUGUAAACAAGCUACAAUCUUUUUACCAAUCGUUUUCCCUCUAUGAUCUUCAAUCACACUGAAACUAAUAAUCCUUAUGUUCAAACACCAGUCACUAUCAAUAAAAUGAACUGUGAUCACCAUGUAACUCAUGUUUUGAACAGAAGUCCAUAAAUCAGUGGUAAGAGACACUCGCUGUUUGUUGUUGCAAAUCAAACUCUUCAACAUUGUCUUUUCUUCCAAAAAUAAAUCCAUAACAUCCCUACCAAUAGUUCUCCGAGAUGGCAUAAUAAACUGCGGAAUGGCUACACUACAGAAAUGCCUGAACCCUUUGUUGUCCACAAAACUAAGUGGCAACUCACCCAUAAUGAUCAUUUUGGUGACUGCCCUUCUACAAGCGUCUUGACUCCACCCUUUAGCCAAAACCAUAUUACUUGCAUUUCCUUCCCCACCCUCAGUUGUCAAGUUUUGUUGACUUCCCUCUUGUUGUUCCCGGAAUGUCUUGUAUGCAAGGCAAGCCAGUAUAUGAUUUCUCAUAUUUGUAAUCCCAUCACACCUUGAAUGACAUUGAUAUUGUCUACCACAAUAGUUGCACUUGCAUUUGUUUGGAUUGUCCUCAAGCAAAGUAAAAUGAUUCCACGUCGCAUAUCUUUUCUUCAUCGCUGGUCUUUUCCGCUUUGCCUUUUGAGUUCCUUCCAUUUGAACACUUUGAUUGUCAUCAUCACUUAUUAAAUUCGAUCUUGAGUGUCCAGACAUCUAAACAUACAAAUAAAUAAUUAUUAAUCAUUAAUUCAUAAAUUAAAACACAAAAAGACUAUUAAAAAAAUCUACUUAAUAGUUAGUAUUACAAAUUGAUUCAAAUAAUUGUUAAUUUAAUUUUAUGAAACUUUUUGAAAUCGAUAUUUUCAAUUUUCCACCAUAAUGUUUAUAUAUGAUCAAGAAUUCAAGAUGCAUAUUCCAUAAAAGAAAACCAAGAAAUUAAUGUAAUUAUUUAAUUUAUAAUAUCUAAUUAUCCAUUGGCCAAAAUAAUAUAAUAUUAAUUACAUAUCCAUAUCUUAAAUUCUUAAUUCUUAAUUCUUAUUAUGCCCACAUUAUAUGUACUUAACCACUUAAUAUUUACUUAUUGGUUUUCAUGCAAUUAAUUAAAUUGAUUAAUUAUUUGUUGAAGUUGAAACUUGAAACUACUGCAAUUAAAUUGGUUAAUUUUUGGUUGAAGUUGAAACUAUUGUACAAAUACACAUAUCAUAUGACAUAUAUAAUUAUAAUUUUUAUUGUAACAUAAUAUUUAAUUUUAAUUUUUAAUCUAACAUUACUAUUCAUACAAAAAAUCAAUUAUUAAUAAAUAACAGAAAAUUAAUGUCAGAUUAUUUUCAUUUAUUGAUAAAAUUUAACAAUAUAUAAUUAUAAAUAAUUAACAUUCAAAGUUACAAUUAACAUUUCUCAUAUAACAUAUAACAAAUAACAAUUAUAAUUAAUCAUUAAUGCAUAUAUAAUUAUAUAUUAUAUACCAUCUCUUAAAUAAGUUUAAAAUCCGGAUUUGCUGAUUCGGGCUUCAAGUUCCAAACUUCCAACUUUCCAAGUUUUCUAACUUCCAAAACAGAGAGUGACGAGACCUUUUGAGUUUUGAGACUGGAGCCAUGACCUGUGAGGAUUCAAGGGUGUGGAUCCGGCGCUUGGUUGCAGCAGAUCUGUAGAUCGUGUCACGAUCUUCGCGAAUCAGCUUCGGCUUCGGUGGUUGGGGUCGUUCUCGGAAGCGGUUGCUGCGUGUGGUGGCCGGCUGAAGCUAGCUCCGUGAACUAUGCAUGUGUAUUUGCUACGUGUGGUGAGCGACAGAGGCCGUGAGGCAUGAAUGGGUGUGGGACUGUGGGUUGGCUGCUUGUGCUUGACGGCUUGAGUGCUGGUUUCAGUGAUUUGUGUGUGACAGUGAGGGUUUGUGAAUUGUGAUACCGUGAGCGAGGCGGUGAGUGUCUGAGAGUGAGUGAGGGUUUGUGACUUUGUGAGUUGUUACUUGUUACUUUGCUUGUGUUCUUUUCUUUGUGAAUUACUCAAUUGUUUUGUUACGGUGAAUACUGAAUAGUUUGGACUUUGGAGUGAAUUCCUGAAUUGUUUUUUUGCGGUGAAUACUUUGUGAAUUACUGUAAAUCCGUGAGUCUGUGACACUGUGAUAGUGUGAUUUGUAUUCUGUGAGAGUGUGAGUUAGUGAGUUACUGAUUUAGUGAUUGUGUCAUGUACUCGUGUGAGUGUGUCAUGUGUGUGUCUGUGUGAUACUGUAAUUUUUGCCCAAUUUUUUUUUUGUCUCAACCCAAUCGGGUUUUCGGAUCCGAUCGGGUCAUGAUCCAAUCGGGUGAAACCCGAUCCGAUCAUGAUCCGAUCGGGUUAAGACAAUUUCACCCGAUCAGGUUUUGUUCACCACCCGAUCUGAUUCGAACUCGAAAUUUUUUAGAUCGGGUCGGGUUGGAUCGGGUCGGGUCGGAUAUUUUGCCCACCCCUAAACAAAACUUCAAAGAUUAAUGAAAAUAUUCCAACAGCAAGACUUCCAGUAGCAAUACCCUCUUCCAGCGGCAAUACUCUAAUAGCCAUGUACCCAAAACACUCCAACCCACUAUAAUUCCAGCCACAUACCCACCAUCUUCCAACAUCACAAUAAUUCCAGCCUUAUACCCAACAAUAUUCCAACCCAAACCCAACAAACCAAUCUAUUCAAAAUCAAUCAAAAUACUCAAUGUUAUCGAAUGCAUAACAUGCACACUACAACUGUUAACAACAUCUACUAUAAUUUGACAUUACAACUUUAAUUUCAACAAAUUGCAACAUGAACUUUUCAAAAAUGAAAGACCUAGUUACAAAAUGUACUUCAUGCAUUCAGGUAGCCAAAGAAAGUAAUAAACUAGGAAAAGAAUAAAAAUCUAUUUAGUAGCAUAGUCCCAAUAAUCCAUUAAAAAAAUAGAAAUGUUGUACCUGCAGCAUAGAUUUCCAAAUAGAAAAGCAAAUUAUAUAUAAUUCGAACCUUUAGGAUAGAUAGACAUAAGCAGGAGCUAGAAAUAAUAAAUAAGAACUAGAAAGCUCAAUAUAUACCAGUGUAACAUGUUCCAAAAUUCCUUUAAAAACACAGAAACAUUUCCACAAUAACAACACAAAAAAUUGGGGAAAAAAGAGAAGACUAUUGAACUUCAUGUGCCUAUGUAAUAUAGAUAGAAAUGAGACGUGAGAUAAGAAACAAAAAUACUCAAAUCCCUCAAGAUAAUAGCCUUCACAUUUCUCAAAAAUUUGAAACACGCUGCCAUCAUUGCAACAAAAUUUGGCAAAACGAAAAACAAAGUUAGAGACCCCCCAUUCAACAAAGUCCCAGUUAUUCAACAAAAGUAAGAAACAUCUUACUAUCACUGCAACAUAAAUUUACACAAAUGAUAACGAAAUUACAAGUUGAUUUUAUGUGUCUACACAGCUAGAAAGAGGAGUAAUAACCUAGAAGAUUUAAAAACUCAAUAGACUGACCAAACUACAAGUUGAUUUUAUGUGUCUAAGAAAAGAAUAAAAAUCUAUUUAGUAGCAUAGUCCAAUAAUCCACAAAAACAUAGAAAUGUUGUCCCUGAGGCAUAGAUUUCCAAAUAAAAAAGCAAAUUAUAAUUUGAACCUUUAGGAGCAAGAAAUAACAAAUAAGAAUUAAAAAGUUCAACGUGUUCCAAAAUUCCCUUAAAAAUAGAAGAACAUUUACACAACUACAGCAUAAAAAAUUGGGGUAAGAAAAAAGAGGGGGGGGGGGGGGGGGGGGGGGGGAAGACUAAUAUACUAUCUGAAAUUUAUGUGCUUAUGUAACAUAGAUAGAAAUGAGAAGUGAGAUAAGAGACAAAAACAGUCAAAUCCCUCAAGUGAAAUAGCCUUCAUAUUCCUCAAAAUUUUGAAACUCGCUGCCAUUACUGCAACAAGAUUUGGCAAAACAAAAAACAAAAUUAGAGACCCCCCAUUCAGCACAGUCCCAGUUAUUCCACAAAAGCAAGAAACAUCUCGCUAUCACUACAACACAAAUUUGCACAAAUGAUAACCAAAUUACAAGUUGAUUUUGUAUGUCUAUAUAGUUAGAAAAAUGAGUAAUAAACUAGAAGAUUAAAAAGGUCAAUAGACUAACUAAAUUAUGAGUUGAUUUUACGUGUCUAGACAACCACAAAGAGGAGUAAUAAACUAGAAAUAAGAAUAUAAAAAAACUCAUUAGACGUCCCCCUGAGUAGUAGAAUAGUUGGCAUUACUCAAAAACUAAGAAUAUUUCUCAACCACAACAACAACAAAAAUUGCAAAAAAUGGCAAGAUUCUUUACAAUAGCAAUAAUUAUUAUUAGUACUUUUUUCCAAUGUUCUUUUUCCAUGUCAAUUUCGUUCUUGAACAUCUUUAUCAAUUGUUUUUCUUUUCGAUAGUCUUACUUCUAAAUCAACCCAUGCAUUCAUAUUAAUUAUACGCUCAUUGGUCUUUUCAUGACUUCUAAGUUUAAAAAUAAGAUAUUUCCAAUCUCUUGUUCCUUUAUCAUUAAGCUGAUUUUUCCUACAAUUUGUAUUGAAUAAUUUGCAACAAAAACAAUAUAGUUUGUCAAAAUCUUUUGAAUAUAUUAACCAUUUUCUGUCAUGUUUUUCUCCAUUUGAUAAGAUUUUAACAUAAAAUCCAGUAGAGAAAUGCCUAGAACUUUCCUCUUUUGGGAAAGUUAUAUUAUUCUCUCUAAUUGGGCCUUUUUCUACUAAAAGAUCUCUUAACUUUGUACCGACAUUUUUUCCUCUUCCCGGAUUAUAAUAUUAUUUAGAAUAAAAAAAAUUUCCAUAUCAACUUUGUUGGUAUUUUUGUUGUUAUCAUCUUCAAUGUUGUUUAUUUCAUUCAUUAUUUAAUUCAUUUGAAGUUGGUUGUUCAAUAACUAAUUCUUCACUUUAAUUAUAUCUUUUUUAUUAUUUAUGACAAAUUUAUCAAGAGCUCAUCUUUCAAAUUGGACUAACUUUUCUAUUCUCCUUUUUUUGUAGUUUUUCAUAUCUUGAUGCAUAUAUUUUUUUGGUACAUUAAGUAGCCCAAUAAGGCUAAACAAUCACUCGGCGAGGAAUUGAGAUCCCCAAGCCAUCAUACAAAAGCCAAGUAGAGAUCACAGAGGGGGGAAAUGAAAAAAUGUGAAGUCCCAGAGGAAGCUGGAGAGUAUGGGAAGCCAUAAGAUUCGCUGCAUAAUUCGAUUCCCUGUAAAAAUGAUGCACAGCUACUCGCCAAUUGCGAGCCAUCAGCCCUUUAAUAUCACAAAUUAGAGGAUAACAAGCAUUAACGGUAAAACAAUCUCUGACAAUCAUUUGAACCGCGCACGCACUAUCAGCUUCAAUGAGAAGGUCACGAAUGCCAAUCUCCCAAGCAAGCAACAGCCCCUGAUAAAUUCCCAUAAUUCAGCCAUUGUCACCGAGUACACACCAAGAUUAAUACUGAAACCUUUGACCCACUCUCCAUUACUAUUCCGAAUUAGACCCCCAGCCCCAGUUAUCCCUGAGUUCCUUGUGGAGCUGUCAGUAUUUAAUUUAAAAACACCCUCGGGAUGAGGACUCCAAUGCAUCCAUUGAGUAACUCGAGCCGCUCCUGUUUGGAUUUCCGAUUGGCUAAUUGUUUGGAUUUCAGCUGCUCAUGACUUGAUAUCUAGAACAAUGUUCUAAGUGUUGUUGUAAUUAUUCGAAAAAAAAACAGCUUGGUUCCUCCAAAAGGACCAAAACCACAGCCUCCAGACUGCCACAACAAAAAUAUAUUGCCAUCCUACAUUUUUUUUUUUUUUUUUGAUAUUAAUCACGAGGUAUCCUGGGGAGGGCCCCAACUGUGGGAGGCACCUUUAAGUCCGUACCACAACCCAGACUAGAAGUCCCUGCUCGAACCGGGAGGCACAGGUUCUCCCAACAAAGGCGACUUUCCUGCGACUCGAACUGGGGAGCAAACCCAGUCAAGCCACUUAAGGGGACUCCAUUGCCAGUGGAGCCAACUCUUUGUUGGUAAAAGACUUUAUUGUCAGUGGAGCUAACACUUUGUUGGUACACUUUCUUGGCCAAUUUUCCAAUAAUCUCCUUGGACUUCUCAGAUUAAUAACGAUCCAAUUUUCCAAACUCAUGUUGAAAAAUUCAUCUCUACAAGUUGAAUUCAGCAACGAAGACCACACUUUCUUGGCAUGGAAGCAAUCUCGUAGCACAAGUAAAAUAUUUUCUACAGCAUAACCACACCUAGGACACUGGACAUCCGUGAUAAUAUGCCUUUUAAAGAGAAACUCUUUAGUUUUCAGAGAUUUCUUCAUAGCUAGCCACAGAAAAGUGGGAAUAGAUUGAGGUCUUUUCCACUUCCAGAUGACCGUCCAUUUUAAAUUUUUUUCAUAAUUGAACUGGAUCUACGAUGGACGUAUAAGCUGAAUUCAAACUGAACUCUCUAGUCUUAGAAUAAGACCAGUAACACAGGUCUUUGCUUCAUUCCUACUUGGGGGUUUAAUGGCAGCAAUCUUUAAUAAUACAUUGUUUGGAAGUAAAUUCUCAAACAAAAGCCAAUUUCAGUGCCCCUCUACCGUAACAAAAUCUGCUACAACAUUGUUUGGUAAAAGCUGGUUAACUUGGGGAUUUGUAUGAGCAGCCAAAAUCGUUCCAUCGUGAAGCCAUGCGUCCCACCAAAACCAAGCUAUCUGACCAUUUCCAAUAGCCCAAAACCGAGCUAUCUGACCAUUUCCAAUAGCCCAACUGACCCCCCGAAGAACUUUACUCUAAAUUUCCCCAACAGCCUUCCAAAGGUGAGAUCCAUAUUUAGUGGAGAGCUCAGGAGGAAGGUUAUCAGGAUCAAUGUUAUAUUUAGUACAAAGGACCUUAACCCAGAAUCUAUCCGGAUUAGAUAACAAGACCCAACCAAUCUUCAUGAGCAACACCGAAUUCAUUGCCUUCACAUUCUUAAGUCCUAGACCGCCAUGAUCUUUGGAAAUACAAAUAUUGCUCCAUUUAACAAAACUGAUUUUCCUAUCAUCCUUUUUACCACUCCAAAUAAAACGCCACAUAUUUGAUCAAUUUUAACAUGAACACUCGCUGGCAGCUUUGUGGUCUGCAUAGCAUACACUGGGAUGACUUGUAAGACCAAUUGUGUGACCGUGAUUCGACCAACAAGGGAUAAAUUAAGGGCAUUCCUACCUGAAAGUCUCUGCUCCACUUUGUCUAAGAUAGCUUGAUAUGUGCUUUUCCCCACCCGAGAGUGAAGAACGGGCAUCCCCAAGUAUUUGCCCAAAUUCUUUGUGACAGUAAAACCCAAGUCCUGUCCAAUCUUGCAAGCCUCCCCUGGAGCAAGAUUCCUAGAGAAAAAGACUGGGUUUUUGUUUUGUUAACCUGUUCACCCAAGCUCAUGCAGAAAGUUGCAAGGACAUUAUUGAUAACAGUAGCCUGUUCCCUAGAGGCCUCUGCCAAAAGAAUAAGGUCAUCAGUGAAAAAGAGAUGAGUAAUGAGAAUACCUUUGCAGCCAAGGCGAAUGAGCUUCCAUUUUCUGACCCUCACAGCUUGGUUGAUACCACGGUUAAGGCAUUCAAUACAUAACCCAAAAAUGUAGGGAGAGAGCGGAUCACCCUGUCUAAUUCCCUUGGACGGAGAGAAAGAUUUGAUUAGCUCCCCAUUCUAUAAAAUUUGCAUGGACACAGAAAUGAUGCAUUCCAUAAUAACGCGGAUGAACUCCAUAGGGAGGCCUACUAGGCACAACGUUUCAUAAAUAAAAUUCCAGUUAAGUCUAUCAUAUGCCUUCUCAAGAUCUACUUUAAUCAACAUAUUUCCUAUCUUCCCUCUCUUUCUUCUCAUUCAAUGAAUAAUUUCCUGAGCUACCAUUAUAUUUUUCAGUAAUAUGUCUGCCCGACACGAAGCUGGUUUGAGUGAGACCAAUGAGGUUCGGUAGCAAAGGCUUCAAUCUAUUGCCCAAUAAUUUAGUGACCAUUUUAUAAACAAUGGUACACAAACUUAUCGGCCUAUAGAGCUUGAGAUUGAUACGAUUCUGGGUCUAGGGGACAAGAACAACGAGCGUACUGUUGAUCCUCACUGGGACUUUCCCUUUUGAAAAUAUCUGCUUAACGAGCUUACACACGUCCCACUAAGUCCCGUUGGGAUUGAAAGAAAAUUGCAUUGAGACUAUCAAUACUCGGUGCUUUCAUAGGAGGCAUGAUAAAAAUAGUAUUUUUAACUUCUAUAUCACCUACAUCUCACUGAAGUUUUUCCAUCGAACCCGUUUCAAGCGCCGGGUAAUUUGCAUCGACAGGAUAAGGGAUAUGCUCCUUAUUUUCUUAUAUAUAGAGUCCAGAAAAGAACUCCACAACGUGCUUCUUAAUCCCCCUUUCAUCGUGCAGCCAUUGCCCUAGCUGAUAUUUAAUUGUUUCAAUACGGUUUAUACGUCUUCUCUGAAUGGUCUUACGAUGGAAGUAUUGGGUAUUUCUGACUCCCCGAGCAAUCCAAUCCCUCCUCGCUUUCUGGUACCACAACAAUUCUUCCUGAGUAAGGAUUGUCUCCAAUUCUCCUUUAAGUUUUCCUUAUAAAUCUAAAAGUCACUUGGAGCUAUGAUCCUCCAAAGCCCUCUGAAUUCCAUUUAAUCUAGCCAGUAAAGUCCUCUUCCUUUUAAAAAUGCUACCGAAAACGUUUUUAUUCCGUUGUCUCGCUUUGUCAGUAAAGUCCUUAGCCGAGUUAAGAAAAUCCUUGUUACGAUCCCAACAAUGAAACAUGAAAUCCUUGAAACGAGCAUUUGUUAACCAUGAAGCCAUGAAGCGAAAAGGUUUAGAAUUAUGCCUACUCUGAAAAUUACGCCCAAAUCGAAUGAGAAUUAGCCUGUGAUCUGAAUUAAUCCUUGGAAGAUGGAGAAUUAUUAACCACUCAUCAUUACUUAUGGCUCGGUCAAGUCUCUUUAAUAAAUUUCCACGGUUCCAAGUGAAGUUUGGACCCUUGUAAGUCAGCUCACAAAAAUUGUUUCGGAAACAACACUUAUUGAACAGCCUAUAAACUCCACUAACUCUAGCCGACCCUUUUUUUUUUCCGAACUAAAACGUAUGGCAUUAAAAUCCGUUGCCAACAACCAAGGGCCUCUGAUAGUAGCUGUUAAAACAUCAAUUUCCAUCCACAAGCUGCUUCGAAUAGAAGGAUGUGGACUAGCAUAAAUAGCGGUGAACCAUGACAACACUCCCUCACUAUUGGAAACCUUGCAGUGGAUGAACUGCCUGUGAUUUACAAUAAUUUCCACACUGAUAUUAUCCCUCCAUAACAGCUAAAUUCCUCCAGCAAAACCCACGGCUUCCACUUGAUGGGAAUUAUCAUAACCACUCCUUCGAAUGAAACUAUUAGCCUUAACCACAUUUACCUUCGGCUUCAACAGGGAAACCAAAGUAGGUUUAUACAUGUUUCGAAGAGACUUAAAGGUUUUGAGGAAGUGAGGUGAGCAAUUCUAACACAUAAACAAAAGAACCAUUACAAAAUAAAUAAUGAGAGAAAGUAGAUCUUACUGAUCAAAACCUACGGACGCAAACUCCAUUUCUGUUUCAUCCUCCUCAUCCAAAGAAACCAUUGUUUCAAAGGAUUCGGAUACCUCGUCAAAAUCACCCAUGUACUCACUAUCAGAAUCAUCACCAUCAUCAUCUAUGUCUUCACGCCCCACAUUGGGGGGUUCACAGUUAUGGCACUCAGAGGUGGAGGGAUCCUUAGCGGGAAUUAGCUAGGUAAUGUUUUGGUCUUUAGUUUGGGGGGCCAAGGUAACGGCAGAGUGUUUAGCAGGAUUUAAGGUAGUUGAAACUAAAGCCAGCGAUGGAAAAUUGGAAUGCAUGGGGUUGCAUGGGAGAGAAAGACGUAGGGGUUGGAACAUUAAAAUGCAUGGAUUCAUUAACGUGUGGCUGACUUGGGUUAAAAUGGUUUUGCAUGGGAAUGGUCAAAGGACCCUUUGAAUUUGGCCAACAGUUGUUUUAGACUUGGCGGGGAAUUUUCGUGGCUGUGUGUUGCUCUUUGGGGUCAUGGGCAUUUUUUCUUUGUUUGUUAGAGCUUGGUUAGCUCUAGGCUUGGUCUUUUUGCGGUUAACUUGGGUUUGCUGUUUAGGUUCUAAGGUUGGGUUAGAUUGAUUAGGAUCCCUAAUCAUGACAUUAUUCUCUGAAGGAUUAUUCUGAUUUGCACCCCUGAUAGUGGACCAAAUUGAGAUCCCCCAAUAGGGUUACCAUUUGUAUAUUUUUUAGUUGACAUUUAUUUAAAUCUAAAAAAACAAAUAAACAAACACAAUUUUUUUUUCUAGAUUAUUCAAGCCAUAAUCAAUACAAAAAAUAAAAACUAAUUAAAUUUAAAAAGGAUAAGAACAGUAAUAAUUAAAAAUAGAAAAAAUAGAAUAAUAGCACCUGGAAUUGAGUCAAUUGACUAUUGAAAUGAAUACGAUGAUGGCAAUGAAUUUCGUAGAGAAAGAGAAGAGAGCAUGAAAACUUUUUGCUAAAAGUAUACUUGAUUUAAUGUGUAUUGGUUUAUAGAUAAUGAGUUUUUAAAUAUAUUUUAAUAGAAUACUAAAAGUUAGCUCUCAAAAUCUAACAUUACUAAUUUUAAUAAGAGUUAUUUUUGGAAAGGAAAAGCAUAGAUUUUUUUUUUUGAGGAAAUACUAAAAAAAGUAAACAAGUAACCUUCAAAAAAACUAUUAUACCAUAAAAAUAUAUAUUAUAUUUAAGGUAAAGAUUAUCAAAUAAGAGCGAUAAUUAUGUAUGAGCGUAAAAAUAGUGUAAAACCAAAAAAUUAAACUUUUCUACUAUAGAAAAAAAUAUAUACGUAACUAAAUUUUUUUUAAAUAUCUAUUUAUUAAUUAUACUAAUUAAUAAAUAGAUACCCAAAGAUUAGGGCCUUCAUAAGUACGGGACUCUAGGCAACCACCUAAUUCGCCUAGUGCUAAAGUCACCGUUGAAGCGGUUGCAACAUAGUUUCAUCCUUCUCUUUUACAUCAAGUACUCACCUCAACAUUGUUGCCGCUAGCUUCGCAGAUCAGCAAAACAUUGACCAUACAUGAUAGAACCACACUUUCAGUAUUUUCAUUUUUUCAACAAACAAUUUCAUUUUUUUUUCAAACAAAUAAUUAGAUUUUCACUAUUUUUAGUUUUAGAUACUGUUUUGAUAACAAGUUAUCAAAUGAGUUUUCGAAUUCAUUAAAAAUAAAUCAUUUAUAUAUUAUAAAACAAUAAAAAAGACUAAAUUCAUUUGAAAAGCAAUACCAACUGAGAAAUUGUCCUUAUUUUUUUAUUUUUAAAACAUUUUGUAUAAAGCAUGUAACCAAAUGCAUCCAAAUGCAUUUUCACUUGUUUUCUAAAAUUAAAAAAAAAUUGAAAAAUGUUACCAAAUCCAUGCUAAAUUACUGUUUCUAUUUUUUACUAGGAAAUAGAACUAUGAUUCGCGCGGCUUUGAAAAAAGAAUUUAGUAUUAUCCUUUUUUCUUACUUUGCACUUGAUGAAACUGAUAAAAAAUAUGAAUUGAUUUUUUUUUAAGAUGAGGCAACCUUAUAAAACUAAUGUUAUUUAUGAAAAUUAAUUAUUUUUUGUUAACUUUAAAAAUAUAUAUUAAUGUGUAUAGUGUAAGUGUACAGACCUUAGGGGUAGGCAUUUUAUCCAACCCGACCCGAAAAAUUUCGGGUUCGGGUCGGAUCGGGUUGUGAUCGGGUCACCUGAACCCGACCCGAACCCGAAUACCCGAUCGGGUCACCUAAAAACAAAAGACAAAUUACACACACACAUAGCGGACACGCACGCGGCACACACCACAGCCACUCACUCACAGUCACACACACAAAAUCACAACUGUGAGUCUAUGACUCUCAACUCUCAAGUCUCAGCUCUCACACACAAAAACAAAAUCACAAGAUUCACAACUCACACACUCACACACACCGGCCAACCGCCACACCACAGCUACUCCACUCUCCAGUCUCCACGGAACAUAGAGCACACAUAGCAGCCAGCCACCCACCCACGCACACACAGGCCACAGCCAGUCAGCCACGCCGCGAUCUACUGCCCAGUGCCCACUGCCGCGAUCUGCUGCCCACAUCCUGCUGCCUCGAUCUGCCCACUUCCUGCUGCCGUGAUCUGCCUUGAUCUGCCGUGAUCCGCCUUGAUCUGCCGUGAUUUGCUGCCUCGAUCUGCCCACUUCCUACUGCCAUGAUCUGUUGCCUCAAUCUGCUGCCGCCUGCCGUGUUCCACCGUCGGCCGAUCUGCUGCUCCAAGCCUCCAAGCCCAAGGCCGAAGCUUCCAAGUUCCCAACAGGACCAACCCGACCCGAGUUCCUCCCACUCUCACCCGAACCGAUUUGAAGCUUUGACUUUCAAGUUUCAAUUUCAAUCUUUCAUGGUAUAUUAUAUAGUUAUAUAUGCUUCUUAGUUAUUGCUUAAUUGGUUAUUUAUUAUGCAAUUGAUUAUUGUUUAAUUGUUGUAAAUUUGUAAUUAUGUAUUUUUAAAUGUUAGUAAUAAAAUC